rnacentral:lncRNA from 1 species
AAUAGAUAUUGUUGGUUAGAUUUAUAUGAGCUUUGAGGGAGAGCAGAGAUUCGCCCCUUGUUUUAAUAUCUGCCCGACUUUUAAGUGUUUAGUUUGAUUAAAGUCAAUAUGUUUGCUUAACCUUUGGGCCAAAGAGACACCUCAGCAUGUGUGUAUGUCACGUGUCCUGAAAAAUGUGUGUUUAUGUGGGAGAAAGUGAGGAAAACGGAGAUGUGUUUAUGUCUAUUGGAAACCUGUCCAUCACAGGGAUACACCAAGCUACCUGGGUGAGCUGACUUCAUCUGGAUAUGUAACACAUAGCCUGAACAGAGCUGCUGUUUGUUGGCUAGAAACGGUUUCUAUUUUCCAUCUUUUCUUCAAGUGGAAUGGCUGCAAGGAGACCCCAGGACCAUUUCAUCUCCAACAUCCUUUACCAGCUGUCGCAGUCUUAAAGGCAUGCUGUUCAGCCCACAGAAAAUCCCACUAAUCAUCUUUUUGUGUUUGAGGGCACAAUAUGCUGAAACAGGCAGGGUGCACACACACACACACACACACACACACACACACACACACACACACAGAUAAAUAUACACACACACAUGCAUGCAGACACAUGCCAGCCUGCUGCUCUCUUGUCCCCAUGCCCUGAGGGGAAGGAGGGCGCUCAGUAUAAUCACUUGUUAGAGGUCUGGCUAACCCCCCCAACUCUUCUCUCUGUCCUCUUCUGGACCCUUCACACUCCUCCUCCAACUGUUUUGUUUAUCCACCAAUCUGUGUCACUUCCUCUGUUCGCCCCAUGACCACUUCCUGUGUGUCUGCUGUCUUUUUUUUUUUUCUUUUUCUCUCGUUCUCCAACUUUCUAACCCAGACAGAUCUUUCCUUCAUCUUCUUAUAUCCAGUGCUUCAGGUGGAAAAAAAGUGCCAGGAUCCACUUGUGAGCCUGAGUCCAUUAUUUUUUCGUUUAUUAAUAGCAUUCUUGUUUUGUUUUUUUUUGUUUUUUUACCAUGAAUAAAAGAAACCAGAACAUUGCGCUAGUUUUCACAAUUUAAUAAAAAAAAAUACUUAUCAUUUCAUACCAGCAAAGAACCUCUGGAUCUCUGGAUCACAAUGCUCCUAUCCAAUUUUCCAUCAGGCUAUAUAAACCGUAUACAGCAGUCUUGGUGUAUAGUAUAGAGAGGUCAUCACUAGGCCUUUGCUGGAGGACUCUCCCGGAAAGCAACACAAAUAAGUUGACUCAACUUUCGAAACACAGCACAGACAGGAGAGGACAGUGGCUUUGAGUAAAAGCAAAGUAAAGGUAGAUAAGGAGUUUUCUAUGACGACUGUUUUUGUUCAUAGCUUUUUUUUUUUUUAGCUUUUUCUGAAAAGUACUUAGACCAGUGAUACCUAUCUGACCCCAUGCCUGGACUACUUCUGAUGUCUUUAAAAGGAGGCAGGAAAAGAAAAGAAAACACAAAAAUUACUUUAUAACAUAAGUCAAAAAGUCUAAUUUUUGCCUCUUUAACUCUCAGUUUCUCCUGCAAUGAUCUCCUCUCAAACUGCAUUAUUUUCCAAAAUUACUGAGCUUUCUUGCAGCACUGAUUGCUUCCUCUGUGACUCUAGCCUCUAACUUCUUCUCUUAGGUUCAACAACUCUUGAUUUUUUUAAAGAAACUGUUCUUUAACUUGGCGGGGGAAUGGGUUUGUUUGUGUACCAUGCUUGUUUCAAUGCUUUCUGCAGCUGCUAUAACAGAGUCACUGACAGUUCAUCGUCUUUGCAGGGUACAAGAAGUGGAGUUGAGGCUCAGCGAUUUGGACACAAGGAAUAGACCUUUUGAAGUCCAGGACACAAGGUAAUGGUUAUAUUAUGUACAUAUAACAUGGCAACAACAAGUUUGAUAGAAAUUGGCCCAAAAGUACAAACAUUUUACAAACCAGUAGCUCAUGGUGUUGUAUUGUUUACACUUGACCAAAAUUACCCUUUUCACACUGAUUGAACUUGAUUUGUGAGAUGUUUGUUUGGGUAAUAAAUUGACACAAACUAGAGAAAGCUCAGCACGAGUCAGCAGUAUUUACUGUAUUGCUUGCAGACUUUUUGUAGUACAAAGAACAGCACUACAACAAGGAAAGACUCAUAAAAAUAGCCAGAGCAUUCAGCUGCUUAAAGUUAAUCAAUAACAACAAGGGAGAGAAAGACUAUAUCUUUUUGUGUAGUUAGAGCGCAUCACUAGUAAGCAAAACCAUCCAAAUCUUGUUUUUUUUUUUUUGCACCUUGUUUUGUACAUUAUAAUACUUACACAGAGAGUCCAAGUCAUAUGAACAAUAAGUCCUUUCACUAAUUUCUCCUCUCAAUGACUUUAUAAGUGAACAGCUCAUGCAUCAUUCUUCUCAUUGACUAAUGUCCCGCUUCAUUUUGUCCUUUCUGCUUUGCCGUCGCCCGCCGUGCAACACUGAUUAAUGCCAUCACAGCAAAUUAGAUAGCCCAGGAACAACAUGUUUAUCAUUUUCAAGCAUUAAGAAAAGUACUUUCCUGGUUCAUUCCCUUCAGUGCUUUCAAAGCAGGGGGAACAUCAGGGUGAUGUAUGUAUGUACUGUAUAGAGGGGGAAAUAUUAAUUGGGAAAUAGCCAGAGAUGUGGCCUUUCUUCUAAAGGUUGUGAGACAGAGGACAAGAGCUGAGAGUGAGUUACCUUCAAAGUAAUGGUGUCAUUUUUUACACUAUACUCUCACUUCUUCUGUGUUGGCUGAUUUGAACAGCGGACAGGAUUUUUUUUUAAGCUCUCAGCUGAAAUCUUUUUGCUCUGAGAUUUGUUGGUUGAUGAAAUUGUUUAUAUUUAUUGCAUCAGUAGUUUAAUAUCAAACAUAUAUAUCUGCAGGUUGUAGGAGGAGAAUGUAACCUCUUGGUCUGCUUUGAACCUGGAGCUUUUUGAUGGCCAAUCGUGGGCACCUCCACUGUGAACCACUGUCUGUGUAACGUAUGACAACAAUGAUGAUGGCAUGUGGGAGAACCUGUGAGGUUUUUGGCUACUCUAUCAGUUGUGAGAAACUUUGUUAAUACUAAACAACACAAAAGCCUGAAUUUGUUUACAUUGUAGAGACUUUUGCAAACACCACCUCAACCAUUACCUUGUUGGCCUGGUUGCACGCUAUUUUAUUUACAGUUACUUUUGCAGAUCCCAUGCAUGCAGAUCCCUUUGUCAUGUGAACUUGGAUUUUUUUUUUUUUUUUUUAGACCAAAGGGAAAGAUUUUUCUGUGUUUUGAUGGGACUUUUCUUCUGGACCAAAUACAGUCAUCAACUGUUAAUUGAUUCAUAUAAUCAUCAUAUCAUAUUGUUACAUUACAUAGCACUACAUCAUAUAUGUUACGGAUAUAGUCGAUUACACUCUCUGUCUCCUCAUAUUGUUACCCUAUUAAAAUAAUGGCCUAAGUCAUUUUUUGACGAAAAUGAGUUUUGGCCUAAAUCGUCUCUUGAUAAUGGAGAUGAUUGAUGGAGAUGAUGAUAGAAAAUUGGGGGAAAUUUUGAUUUUGUACAGAGAGAAAUUUAAAAAACCAACCCUUUACGACCCAUUGACAUGUUAACCCCUUCGUUCGAGUAGCGAUGUUAUUUUAUUUUAAGAGGCUAACAGGAAACUGCAAUAGCAGCGUGAAAACCUUGCUGGCCAUUGAGUUACAAUAGCAGCCUCAGGUAUUGACAGAAAGACAGCAAGCACUCAGAUAUUCUCAUAUCAUUUUCAUCCUCAUAUCAUGCUGUGAACGUAGCCUGGCAUUGGUAUGUUCUUACCCAAUGUUCCCUCUCCCAGGCUGUAUAUCACAUCAUAAAGAAUACAUAAACCCCUCUCCAAAAAAAAAAACCUACCCAGUCUCCAAGGCAUCAGUGCUGAGCCCUGUUCUGCACCGAAAAGAGCUCAAACAAAGAACUUUCCUUGGAAAGAAAAAGAAGAAAAACAACAUCCCUCAAACAAAACAAAAAAAAUCUAGAGACAAUGCUAAUAACUGUAAAAUAUGAAUGGUGACUUGACAUAUUUGCAAAUGCGCUGAGAGGCGCCCUACUAAACGCGAUGAUAUGGGAAACCAAUGGCAUGGAAGAAAGCGGUUGUGGGCCCCCAUCUCUCGCCAUUAGAUGUUCAGUGGAAGCUGUCAACAGAAGGCGCAUUUGCCUGCCAAGCUCCCUCUCUGACUGAGCUCUGUGCCUGCAGCACGCCCCGAGCUCCUCUUUGACUCAAAGGCUUCAUUUCACUUCUUUUAGCCUCAUUCGCAUGUGCUGCUACACAAAAACCCGGCUUGCUCGCAGCCUGCCUCUCGUGUGUGUGUGUGUGUGUGUGUGUGUGUGUGUGUGUGUACUGCUUUGUGUCCAUUUUACUGUGUUUCCGUGUGUUUGUCCAUGACUGUGUGUGAGAGUUUUGUACAAGUGCACGUGUACAUGCAUGUGUGUGUAAAUCACAAGGUGAUGCCGCUCUGACAGCCAAAAAGCCACAGUGACAGAAACACAGAAAGAGACCAGAGGGCACAGUCCAUCAUUAUCAUUUUCUGCCCAUAUUAGCAUAAAGCUAGCUCUAUAUAUCCAGGAAACACUUUCAGCUCGAACUUCCUGUGACAUACUGUAGGUUUCUAUAGCAGCUAAAUAAAUGUCUCUGUGUAAUCCAGCUUCUGGAUCAGGCCACCUGAAAAAAAUCAUGAGUCAUCAUUUACAUGGGUGAUAUGUUCAGCACUGUCCCCUGAGGUUGUCAACUAGAAACGGUUUCACUUUGGAUUGUCACAACCCAAAAAAGAGUGCUAAACUACCUUCAACAACACACACAGUUUGUACACAUCCUGUAGUGUCAAUGCUACUGCAUCACAGUCAGUAUGAAGAGUAACUUCAUUAAGUUCAUUAGUAGUUAGUUCGAAAACUUUUUCAGACUAGGUAGGAUUUUCUUUGUAUCAAAAAAUAUACCAAUGAAAAUAAAUGAAUGAAUAAAUAAUGUGUUCAAAAGAAAGAGAGAAAAAACAACAGUAUGUGUAAAACUAACAAGACUCAUACAGCAAAGCCCAAAGUUAACAGCUUUAAUUAUCAGAUCAAGGUUGUUGUAAUAAAAUAAUAUUUUUAAAAAACUUGCACUCUUGAAGAAUUUCAGGGACAGUGUGAGUUGGGGCUUUGUAUCCUUUAAGUAAGAGAAAAUCGUUUUCAAGAAAAGGAUAAUGUAUAGCAGGGGUCCCUAUCCUUCAGACCUUAGACAAGUGAAAGCCCUUUGGUCAUUUCAAACCAGACUGUGAAAGCCCAUUCAAGAACCAGAGGGAGGAUGUAAUUGUCAUAUCCUACUGCAUUUUGUUUUGUUGAUUCGAUAUCUCAAGCCAAAUUAUACUCAAUUCAAGUUAAAAUCAACUUUGUUUUUACUAGUUGUAUUUAAACAAAAGUGUCAAUAUGAAAUAAAAACAUCUUAUUUAUUAUUUGGUUAAAGCCGUAUGGGCUUUGCAGAGUGAGAAGUCAUUGCCAAUUUGUUGCUAUGCCAGUGAGUAAGGAAAAAAAAAAGAUGGGCAAGAUUAACAAGUUUUUUUACUGGCGUUCAAGGAAAAUUCCUUGGCUCUGUGAGGAUAUCAGAGACACAAAGAAGUACAAAAUUUGACCAAAGUGAGGAGAGCCAUGUAAAAUUAAGUUUUAUUACUUAACAGCAGGUUAGAUGUUAGAAACACUGUCACUCACUCAUAAACACCUCAUUGGAGCCGCUAAUGUGGUUUUGAUUUUUAGAGCUCAGGUUGUAUUAUGUUUCUACUGUGCUUCAUAUAUAUUGAAAUGAUAGUCAUGGGGGAUUCCCAUGAGAUGUCCACCCUACAGGUCCAUCAGAAAUAUGACAGGGUUAGCAAGACUCUGAUUUGCAGUGGAGUCUUCUCUUUGGAGCUUUGGGCUUGGUUAAUAAGUGCAGGGUUAUAAAAAAAAUAUGUUGUCGCUAGUAUCAACAGGAUAAGAAAACAGAACUUCAUCUUGAAAAAUAAAUUUUCGUGCAUCAAAAGUUCUCCGUCAAGAAGUUGUUCAUACCGGGAAAUAAUGCUUGAAAUGGUUAAUUCUGUAAAGUUUUAGAAAGAAAUUGAAAUAAAGAGUUCAAGCGUUGGAGUGAGUAUUUUAUAUUUACUUUUUUAUGAGUAUAGUUGAGUCAUCAAUUUUUUUGAGACUUUUCAUUUUUUAUAUGAGCUCAAAUAGCCUAAAAAAUAUGACAAAGAUUUAGUUGAAUUAGGAAUUAAGACUACUUAAGCCAUUAUCUGGAGAACAGGUAGUAGUUUCCUGUGAAGUGUUUGACUUCCUAACACAGGCUGUCCUCUGGCCCGUCUGUCUUUGGCUAGCAGCCUGAGGGUCGGACCAGUGGAGUGGAAGUUGAAGAGGGCUGUUUGAAUGUAAUAGGUUUUGACUGGCAUGUGUUACAUGCUUCACUGCACCAUUGAUUGAGCGCUUGUUUGCUAAAUCACUGCUGGUUUCCUCUGUCUGGUAGGCCUGUGACACGUGUGGUGUGUGUGGUCACUUCUGCAGGGUGGAGGGAAAGAGAAGAGCUGGUGCAACCCCGGUGACUCAGAGAGGACAGAAGUUAAAAAUGACACAAAGAAAAGGUGGAAAAAUAGACGCAGACAGAAGAUGAUUGAACCUCUUGACCUCUUUUUUCUUGAACUCACCUAAUCAGGAAUCAACUUAUCCCCAAAUCUUGGCACUGAGGUCUCUUCUUUCACGGACACUCACAAUAACACCCCUCCUCCCCCUCCUCCUCUACCUCUCGACCAUUUCACUCCUCCUCUGCCCCCACCUCCCCUGUUUUAGACAUGCUUUUUACAGCUUGAAGGAUGUGGCAGAGGAGGGAGGGUGGUGUCAUGGGUCAAUGUCACUCAGCUUGGUCCACUCAGCGGAUGACUGAAGGGAGAUGUCUUGAUGGCUGAUUUUGCCUUUCGCCAUUUUUAAAGCUAAACAGCUGACCAGAUAAACGUAAAACUACAAAAAAAAAGAGAUUUAUUGAUAACUGAUGUGUUUUCAUUCUGAUUAAAAAAAACAUUUUGAUUAACCAACUAUUAAUUAUUAUUGUGCAGCUUAACGUUUCCACUCACAACACUGGUGAUGUAAAUUGAUUGGACAUAUAGGGACAGGACCAGGUUCUCUGAAAGAUGCCCUUUUCAGAGUUCCUUUAAGUGCCUGACAGACCAAUUUGAUCUGCAUUUUUUGGGGAAGUGCAAACCAGAAAGUGACUGAAUGCUAUAGCUGUAUUCCAAUACGGGCUAACAGGCAGUCAAAUAUGCUAUUUUAACUUAACCAUAACAUGAUCUCUCUCCUAAACAUCUCUGUCUUUAGUGUAUGUGGCUGCUCAUCAGUCAGGGAGUUGUAAAAUUACCACAAUUCAUCAGGAUGAUGAAGUUUUUACAAUUAAUGACCUGAAACACUGUGAUAAUAUGUGAUACUGAUAUAAGAGUCAUCUCCCAGAGUACAUGAGAAUGUAAAAGGCCAAGUUUUUAAAGCUUAAAUACAUCCUCUUUAUGAGUCCUUAAAAAGAGCCACUUUUGAAGAUUUGGUAACACUUUAUUUCACGCCUAUUUCUAUAACACAUUAUAAAUAUAUUUAUAUACAGUUGCAUUGCAUUAUCUAUGUGGGCAUUAUCAGUGAGUUGUUAACAGUUGUAACACAUUAUAUAAUACCUGACCUUGUAUGUCAUGAUAAAAUGCUUUAUAAUGUGUUAUGAUUAUUGCUAUAAAGCAUUAUGAUUAUUUAUGAGUGUUUAUAACUAUAUUUAUACAGUGCUACAAUGUGAUUAUAACACGUUAUACAUGUAUUUAUAAUGCGUAAUAGAGAUAGGCGUCAAAUAAAGUGUUACCGAAGAUUUACAUAUUGCAACUUUGCUGUAUAGCUUUCUACAAUUAAAAGUUAUACAAAGUCAUUAACCUCUGUUAGAUACUUGAUGCAAGUAAUUCAGCCAGACAUGAUUAGUGUAAACAGAGUGUAUAGAUAAUAUUCAUAAGUGUGUGUGUUUGUGCACGCAAACUUCAUGCCGUUUCAUGUAAGUAAGUACCUGAGUUUGGCCACCGCAGCUAAAAGAUUCACCCUGUUAAAAGGAUGAAUUGUAAUCAUAUUAGUGAUCCAGUGUUACAGACUGGUCAACAAAUACUAUACAUGUGUAAACCCACCAUUUCAGUCAAUCACGCCCUUAUGCUAAACUAAAAUUUAAACAUCUCACAUGCUAAUGUUAGUUUUAGGCUCAAAGCUCUGCAGCAGUAAAGCAGAAGCUCACAGAGCUGCUUGCACGGCCGUAGAGUCUGUCUUGUUUCAGUGUUGACAGGUAGGUUUUCUUUAGUUUAAUAACCUACAUUAUAAUCAGGUUUGCAUGUUUAGAUAAAUCUUAAAGCUUGUUAAAUUCUUUUUUUGUUUGUGAGAGUGUGUAACAUAAACCAACUUGCUGUUUUGCGUCUUCUGGUCUAUUUCCCUCUUUAAUUUCAGAUCUCUGGUUUAAAGCACCUGAACUAACCAAAACCAACCCAGCGCCUGGAGUCCUCCCCUCCACUUUAGAAAGCCUCAACAAGUAAACAGUGUCUUUGCUGAUUACACCGCCUCUCUCGGCAGCCCAGGGUUAGCUACAACACUUUGAUCUGCUAUUGAUUGUCUGCCUCCUCCUCCUCAGCCCUACGCAUCCUUUCCUAGCUGCUGUUUAAACACAGGUGAGUCAGCCAGUGGCCCGAGGCGCUGAGCCUUAAACCAACGGCACGCUGCGUGCUUCUAACACUGACCCACUGAGGUUAAUUGGUAUCCUCUUGGUGCUGUAAAAAUUGUAAUUAUGUUUAAUGAGAGCAGUGGAGCUGUUUGCAGAGGAGAACAAAGAUUUAGGUUUAGACACAGAAGACCCUCACAUGGGUACUCAAGCAGGAUUGACUCGUUAUCUGUUAGAUUUUAAGAGUUUUUGACUGGUAUUUGCAAAGAAUUGCAGCAGAUGGGUCAAAGAAAAGAUAAUUCAAACUUUCAUUGGAGCUCAACUUAACCAAAUCAACUUAAUUAAAGGGAUAUUCCGGCAUAAGUUUAAGUCAAACACACCAUAACACCAAGUUAGACACCCCUUCUAGAGAUGAAUUUUGCCAACCGCUUGCUUCUCUAGUUACAUGAAUUUCAGCAACGACUGCACGAUAGCAAUACACAGCAAUUAUUACUUCAUAAUUUUCAUGAAGUAAUAAUCAUCAUAAUAAUCAUUUUGCACUACAGACGCAGUAGUCCUUCUGCCUUAGCGUCUCGGUCUGAUUGCAUUUCCAUAAAGUAAUGAUUAUAAAUGUUCUUCAUUGAGCUGCCAAAUUUUGCUGCACUCUGUGAUCAACUCGUCAGGGCUCCCCCACAAACAAACAGCUGCUGGAGGAGAGUAGGUGAGUUGUGUUUAGUCUCUUUGCUGAAGAACUUAGGCAAAGUUAAAAAGAUGUUUGGUGGCUAGUACUAUGGUUUGGACCCUAUAUGUACUGUUGAUGAAGUUAGGUGCUGUUCUGAGCAUUCUUUGUGGCUACAAGUGGCUUUUUGGUUGAGGUUUGCACAUGGAGACAUAGACCGCUGUGUAUUGCUAUCAUGCGGUCGUUGCCGAAAUUGGUGUAACUAGAAAAGCAAGCGAUCAGCAACAUUUACCUCUUUAAGUUUCUGACGGUAAUUCAUGUUUAAACAAACAAACUACAGUUUAACAUGAUUUUUAAACUCAAAGUAAGUAAAAUUGAGAAACUUCAAUUUGUCCACUCGGAGUUCUUUUGAAAGUGUAGGUGCAUUUAAUCAAUUAGGCUAAGAGUAAACAAAAAUAAUUGUGAAAAUAAUGUAAAUAUUUCUUUCAGUUAAUAGAAAAAUCCACUGGACUCUUGUACAGUUGAAAAGUUUUUCCAGUUCUUCCAAAUGGCUUGUUAAGUUUUGGAUAUCAGCAGGGACUCCUAUGUUUUUGUCCCUGUAGAGAUACCACCCUGCCUCCAGAUGGAGGAUGAAGUGGUUCAAGGAAAAGAAAAAAAAAAGAAGCUCAGAAAAGGCAGAUUUGAUUUUUAUUUUUGGUCCUAAACAGCUCUGACAGAACACAUUAAUUAUAGCAAAUACAUGUUUGGACUUGUGAAGCAGUGAGUCUGUCUUCAUAGGAAAACCUUAAGGAGUGGAUAAUUUGCUCAAAGAUGUUAUACAUGUUCACAUUUUUAUGGGAAGAAAAUUCUUUCAUCUUCAGAGCGGAUGAGGUGAUGAAGGGCAAACAUUAUUUUCACACAAAAUAACUGGAGCUGGACUACAGACUUUUUCUCUUGAACCAUGAUCAUCUUUCGGUCAACGUUCUCGAUGAAAAAAAACAAAAAUAUAAGUUAGGCGUAGUAGUCACAACCUCUAUCUUUUGAAGUUGUUUAAAAUAUUAUUGUGUUUCCAGAUGCAACAGUUGUUAGAGUUUAUUAAAAUAUCUUCUUUAACCACUCCUUGAAAUAAUCCACUCCUCCACUUAAGCAUUUUCUUACAGCAGUGUUUUCUCAUGUUGAGGUACCUUGACACAGACAAAAAAACACUUUUUCAGGAAUCUGUGCGCCCAUCUCCAAAUCACUGUGAAAUUUUAAACUUUAAGAACUGAAAAUAUGGUUAAAUUAACAAUCGGACAAGAAAAAUAUCGAUCUUUGGUGUACCAUCUAAAACUGUUUAUGAGCCCCUUCUUCUCACCAUAGGUCAAUACCAAACGUAUGUGUUGCUGUUUUGAUUCGUCAUGGCUUCAAAGCUCAGCUGGAAGUAAAGAACUUACGAUCUGUUGGUGAGGCACUGGGGCAAGCCCGCUUUCAAGCCCACAGGCAGUGAGUCGUAUAGAUUUUACUUAGAUUAUGUGGCACAUCAGAAAACACCCGAGUGGGUGAUGUUUUCAGCUAGCAGUGUAACCAUUUAUAAAGACUGAGAAACCACCUUGUUUUUGUGGUCUAGGCGCUGUAAUUGAAAACCCAUUUCAUCGUCUACAUUAACGGCAGUCUAGACUUGAAGAUCAGCAAAAGAAAUGGCAACAACCAGUUCUCCGUUUGUUCUUCAUAUCCAUGUCUUUUAAGCAUUCCCAUUGUUUUCCUGCCUUUGUUGCCAUGAAAACACAGAGCAGAACCCCGAAGGACCAAGGCCACAUUUUGUUUUUUCUUGAUGUCUCUGUGUGAUUAAGUGUCUUCAGAGCUCUCAGUGUCAUGUUCCAGCUCUCUUCUUACCUUAAUGAGAAAGUGCAGGAAAGAAGUCACUACCCGGUAAGUCUGUUCUUAUUUUUUUUUUCUUGUUCAGCAUGUCUGUUUCAUUUCUCUCUCACACCGCUACGUGAGCGAGGUGCAGCUGUGAGAUGAUGAAGUUUCAGGGAAAGGUGGAUGUGCCAUCCAUUACAGGAGGUGGAAAGGUGCAGAUAAAUCACCUUAUCAGCCCUGCCUUCUCCCCACUGAGCUGAGGGAGCAGAGCAAGAGGGAAAUCCAUCAAGCUCCACAAAUGGGACAUGACUCAGAGAUCACUGUGCCUCUGUGCUGGGCUGUGUACAUACCUUACACCUGCUUUAUCAUUGGAGAAUAACUCGGAACAACGAACAAGUGGAUAUCAUCCUGUAAGAUGCAAAAGCAUCCAGUGAAAACCCCAGACCUUCAGCAAACAGAGCUCAGGACUUCUCAGACAGUGCAUGUAGAAUGAUACAAGACCUGGAGUAGUUUGGAUUUUUUUUAAGUAUGUCCAAAAAUAUGAGAGUCAGGAAAUUUGAGGAGUAUAGAGGAUGGAUGUGGCUAAUGUUUACAGGGCUAGCAACACCAGCCUUUGACCUCCUGUGAGGUUCAGGACCACCUGUACUGGAUGAGCAUCACUCUAGUUGAGUAUCUCCACAUUCUUCAAAAUACAAAACACUGCCACACUGCACCACGCUACAAGAUGCACACAGCCAUUAUUUUACACCCACUGCUACAGUUGUGAGCGGUUGCACUAGAACUUGGACAAAACAGAUGGUGAGCCAAAAUACUUCAUUCAUUCAACCAUCUAGUGACUCUGAGCUGAAAACCUUAAGUCAUCAAGUCAACCAAACACAUACAACCCUGUUGACUAUAAAUGAAAGCAAUGCAUGGACAUGGAUCAAAGUCCUUUUUCACUAUCAGCUGGUGACACCAUAAGACCCAAAAGGUCGGUGAUCGCUUUGAAGGGGGAAUAUUAUUCAUAUUAUAACAUACUUCUUCACAUGGUUAUUACAUUCAUCCUUUAUCUAUACAUAGCAUUAUUUUCCAUUAUAUUUUUCGUGUCUGCAGCAUUGUUACCAAAUAAACCAUGACUGAAUCAUAUGCAGGUUCUGCAACAUCAUCAUUGACUUCAAAAGUAUUACUCUCUCGUGCCUUUUCACUAGUUAUUUUUCUUAUAUUGGCAAAGUAAAAUAAUAAUAAUAAUUCAGACACCCUCUUCUUUCACGAGUGCGUCUUUUCUGCCUGUUGUGCGUAAACUUUAAAGCCAAGUAAAAAAACAUGACCAGAUACUUUUAAGGGCGUGCUAAACAUAAUAAAUUAAUGUCAACUAUCAAUUCAUCAUACGCUCAUCUGUUUUCAGUGAUCCUCUGCAUCUGAGCAUACACAUCCACAAUUACUGUACAGUGUGCACCUAUGGCUCCUUCAUACAAGGUUGCUAAGCAACAAUAAUGACAGUGACCUUUUAGAAAUCAGUGGGAUAUGAACCACCAGUAGAAGGGGACCACGGCACACACACAUACUUUUAGGGCCUCAGUGUUUAUUAUCAGCUGGCAGACUGAACGGACUGACUGAAAACAGCACACAUGCAAAAAAACACACACCUUCACAUAACAUCACGCACAAGCAUUAAGCACAUUUUUGCCCUUGGGGAAAGCAGAGGAGUUAGCAUUUCCCCGCCAGCUCUGAAUGUAGCAGCUUGUCACCACACCCCCUUAAUGUAAGAGCAGUCUAUUGGUAUUCAGCUGCACAGGUAUCUAAGAAAGCAAAGCCUUUAAACAUCUUAACUGCUGUUUGUUCUGUCUCUAGAGGGCAUGUGCAGUACACUGGGGGUUUGGGAAUAGACAAGGAGAAUUGCAAAUUUGUUUUGCCAGCUACAUGUGCUCUGUAAUUCCAUCUCUGAGCUCUGCAUUGUAGCUGAGUGUGUUAGGUUUAUACAUAAACACCCACAAAGGUGGGAUGUUUUGUUUAAUUCUUAAAAGAAUUGGAGUUGUUUAGUUAUGAUUAAUGACUUCUCCACAGGAGAAACAUGAUGCAGACGGCAGAUAUCGUGUUGCAUUGUGUUGUUGUUUUUGUUGUUGCUCUCUUGCUAUUUAUUUCCUCUGAGUAGACAGAAAUCAACAAGUACAUACAAGACAUAACAGAGGUUUGUAUUUCAUAUCUAAUUGGCACAAGACACCACCUCUGUAACAAAUAAUGGAUCACUAAACGCGAACAGCUAUUUGUAUAUACAUAUUUAUAUGACACUCGACAGAUAUUAGUUUUCUUUGCAUUUGAUAAAAUCAAACAAUUAUAGAAUACAGAAAAAUAAGAAACACAAUUUCUGAUUUGAAUGAACAUUUUCUCAAAUAAAUGUAGAUUGAAUAAUUUCACUUAGAUGAGUGAAAUAUUGACACAAAGAAACACUACUUGGAAACUCUUUUAGAUUUGUUAAGUUGUCAUUUAUGGUGUAAGAAAUAUGAUGUAGACACUGGCACUCAGGCUGAUGCGAUGUCCACUCGAUGUGACGCAGAUUAUUCAAAAUAUCAAUACGAUAUAGUCAGCCGACCAAUUGCCUAUAAAGUUUUUGCUUUGUUUUAAUUUUAGUAAAUCUAUGGGAAUCCAUCAGAAGAGCCUUCAAUGGACAAUUUUUGUCCUUAAGCUAUCUGUUAAGUACGGCGGUUGUAGAUAGACUUGAAUUUUUCUGCCGUAAAAGACGAGAAAUCGAUAAAACUAGACAGGACUGAGGCCUGUAAACCAUGCAACCUUGUAUCAUGACAUCAUUAUGUAUGUCAGGCUUAACUCUCGGCACUGUAGCUGUUCGUGUUUUACAGUACAAGCUAUCUGAUGCCUCACUUAAGUUCAGCGCAACAGGGAACAGCUUAAAUGAAAGCAGCAAAAGUUCCCCAGACGGGAAGUGUAAGAGAACAGGAAACCUUCUGUGUGUCUGUCUCUUAAGUCCUGGGCAUGCAUCUGAAUGACAAACCUGUGUGUCUGUCCCCCUUUUAAGAAAUCCUUUACAAGUGCUGAGACACCGGGGCCCUGCUUGUGGAGGCUGUAUAUUUCUAUUCAUAAUUGAUGACCCGGACCCAGACAGACAGCACACUACACAUGUAAUAUGGAUUCACUCCUGGUUUCAGAUGCAUGCCCUCGUCUGGACUUGACUCUGAGCCAUCAUUGUGUGUGGAGAGAGAAGGGUGUGUGGGCACGUGAGAGAAAGAGAGAGAGAGUGUGUGUGUGUCUGCAUGUGUGAAAGUGUGUGUGUGAUAGGGUUGUUGCAGCCUGAAACGUAAUACACCAACCUUGUGUUUCCCAGAUAAGCGUUGACAUGCUUUUGACUGAUAAUUCUCCAGAUGCUUUCACAGUUUUGUGUUUUUCAAAUUUUACAUUUUGUUACAUCGAUUACAUUAUUGCUCAAAAGUUUGAUUUUUUUAUUCUACACUCCCCACUCACACAAGGACCUUGACAAUAUGUAGACUCACAGUGGGUUAGCUGCUACUUUAGUUGCUUCCCAGGGACUCAUUGAUUUAAGUAACUAGGUCCUGGGGCCUUUGUUUAGUCUCACCUUACUGCUUUCUCUCCAUUUUAGUCAAGGUUCAUUAAAGUACAUCUUGUUUUUUCAGAUCCCUCCCUGCUUUCUUUGGCCUUGUGCAUGAUGUAAUCCACUACCUGUGUGAGUGUUGCUGUGUGUUACUGCAGCUCCAGGAAACAUUAAGAGACUGCCUGUCAGAGGUUUGAAUGAAAUGUAUUUUGUUGUAUUUCUUAUAGAUUCCCAACUUCUAAAUAAAAUGUUUUCAUUUAGGUCUUUAUCUGUCUAAAAGUAUGACAGGUUUGAAUAAAAAAGAUCAAGGUUUUCUUCAACUAUGAAUAAUGUGAAGACAAACCAGUUCAUAAAACAGAUUACUUAUGUUUUACUCGGGAAGAGUUCAGAAAUCAAUACUUGCUUGGAUGAACCUGGUUUUUAACUCCGGCUAUUAUGUGUCCUGGCUUUACAUCACCCAUUGCUCUGUUGCAUUGUUAUUAAGAGACAUCAUGUAAAAUUUCAUGUAGCUUGGCUUUGCUCUUGGGAUUAUCAGGUGAUCUCUGAUUGAACCCCUUGUGGUCAAAUGAGGUCCAUCUGUGUUUUAAUUCAUGGACAGUAACUUUACAUGAUUUAUGUAAUGUAAACCUGCAAAUAGAUUUGUUCUCCCUAAAUGUGUAGUGAGCCAGUGGUUUAUGAAAUUAAUUAUGAAGAAUCUUUAUUUUAAGUUACUGUUUGGCUUCUGAAAUCUUAAUUUAUGCAUCAAAUCUGUGUUAAAGGUUGCAAAGGGACCAAAACAGCAAUCACCAAAUGAAAAGCCCAUUCUCACUCCUGAGGAGUGACUGUCAGCGGUCUGAAUUUAACACCUUAGAUUACUCUGAUGUCUUUUCUAAAAGUCAUCCUGAAGACCGUGGAAAGUUAGCAAAAGUCAGGUUUAGAAGUAGUUGAACUCUGCUGUUGAUGUUUUUAUAAAAGAUUACGAAGGGUCCAAAUAUGGCAAAGCUUGCAAGCUUGAUCAGGAUCAGGCUGAUCUUACACUUGAUAUUUGUAAUUCCUACAACUGUAUAACAAACUCAUUCCCCCAAUUUGGCGCUCUGUUAGAUCUAGAUUUCUAGUCUUUGUUUCUGCUUUGCUGUUGCCCCAGCAUCCAUACAUAAGUGCAUGACUCAAGUGCUCGGCCCUAUCACCACCCCAGCAUCCACCUGAAAACUCUGACCACAGAGUUUAUGAUAUUGUCUCAUUGGGCCUCAGUUUCUCUUUGUAAAGGUGAAAUGUGUGUCAUAUUUGACAUAGCUCUGUUGUGAUAAUAAUAUAAAUGUUGUGAGAAACCAGAACAGAUCAGGGGGGUAGUUUGAUAAAUUUUUGUUAUUUAAGUUGAUGACUUUCUUGAUUUCUGUCCAGAUAAAAGCCACGUGUGCUUCAUCUGAAUGAGCCUGUUUCCUCUCUUUGUAUCCUGAUUGAUUCUGCCGUUUAAUGGACUUGUGUGUUCGCUUCCGAGUCUCACUUUCUCUCCUCUGGUCUCAACUGAAGUUCACAGGGGUCAGGGUUCAUACCCCACGUUCCCAUGGCAACAUAUGACACAUCACCCUCAAACAGAAACUCCCUCUCAAUCCUCCGUAAUGGAUUUGACCCCUGAACUCUGCCCCUCACUGCCUUUCAAACUGACAUAUAGCUGAGUGUGAAGCCCUGCUGGCUCUAGCCUGAAGCCAUAUCCUCCAUAUUACUCUGCACAUCUUUGCCAGCGAAGGGUUGAUGAUCAGCUCUUUGGCAGCAUAUGUCAUCAAAGUGAAGAGGCGUGCAUGUCAGGCUGAUACCAUCACCAAAAGCAAAAAAGAAAGAAGGAGCACUUUUACAUCUGUUAUGAUUUAACGUGAAUCAUAAUCUUUACCAGCAGAGCCUGACUCACUGCGACCUCACGCAGUUUCCCUGUCAUCAUUAUGCAGCUUCACCUCACUGCAGCCAAUCCCGUCGUCCAUCCAGCCUCGCUUGCUGCAUCAUUUAUGAGCACUAAUCAGGAUCCCAGGUCUGGUGUGCUAGCCACCCUACCGCUAACAUCACUUCCCUGACCUGACCCUGCCUGUUUCCCCACAGCAUUAACGCGUGUUUACGCUAACGCCUGCUCAUUAUGCCUAACUAUGCUAGGCCAGAGCCUGCUGCCUGAGCUGGAUCUAGGGGCCCUUUUUAACAUGCUCUAACCAGCCCCGGCGCCCCUCCCUCCCCCCUUCCUCCAAUGGGGUACUGAGAGUUGCUACGUGCUAAUCUCAAACAACAGGAAAAGGCAACAUCGGUAGCAAGUCCACAUAGAGGUGGUUUACUGGGAGACAUGGCCUGCGAGGACCUGCGAUCAGCCUCCAUUAUUGUUGUAAUUAGCGCGCCUCGGUGGAGCACAGGCUCCCAGGCAGCGUGCCUCGACCUCCCUGCCUCUCAGUCUGUUUACAGCCAGCCGAGGCAACAGAGAAAGGGCAGGGGGCCGGCCACACGGCUCGAUGCCUCUGUUCGGCUCCAGCAGCAACACAGCUGUUUGUUCAUUUGAAGCGUGGACACAUGAGGGUUUUCGUUUCUCCGCUGUCCGACGCUAUUCAAAUGUUUAUUUUACCUGCAGAACGGGCAAAGGCAAGCUAAACGCCUGAGGAGAUUCAGGGGGGUUCAGAUAGAGUGUUUGUGUUUUUGAUCAGGUAUUCUGAAAGAGUGUAGCAGCAUUAGCCGGUGAACAUCAAUCAAUGUCAGGAUCAGGCCUGUAAAAACAUCCUCUUAACAUUUGAAUUAGUACCAUUCAAAGUCUGCAGCCAUCUGAAGAUGUGUGACAUUAUACAUGGAUGUGUGCACCUCUCUUCUCACACCUUAGCUCCCCUCGCUGCCCCAACUCCUUGACGUCCCCCUCCCUAUCAUUAUGAGGCCACCCCCCUGGUGCGCCACCCAUCCCCUGAUCACCAAUUAGAAAGGCUUGUCCCCUUUCCCCCUGCGCGGAUGCAGAGGUGGAGGAGUGGAGAGGCAGCAAAGGCAGCAAAGGUAGCAAGGCGCGAUUAGGGCAGUGUGAGGUGGAGGUCCCAUGAAGGACAAGGCUCCCUGGGUGGCUGAGCGAUGAGCAGGGGAGCGUGAAGGGCUGAGGCAGGUCUUUCCCACAGACCAUCAGUCCUUUAGUGAGUCAGUCAGUGUUGUAAUGCUUGAGCACAAAGUGUAAUCAGACAGGCUCUAACACAACAAUUUUAGUCUCUUUUUUGUGCAGCUUUUCUUGGAUAAUUUGACGUAUCCAUCCAUCCAUUUUCGACGUAUUUAUUUAUUUAUUUUUUAUGCACAUCUUCUCCUGCCUGUGUGGUAUUUUUUAAUUUCCUCAUCUGUCUCCUUGUUAGGGCGGCUGCUGUUACAUUAUUCUGAUCAAGAUGAGACAUUGUAUUCUGUGUGUGAUCGUGGCCUUCCCCAGUGUUUCUCCUUGUUGUCUCACUUCAUUCCGUCUCUGUCUUAUUGUAUCUGAUAAGAGACCCCGUUGUUGCAGUGUGGUAAUGAAGCCCUGCGUGUUAGAAGAGCAGCACCGCCGGGCAUGCAGGCCCUCGCACACCUCGGAGAGGCAGAGAGGCGCGUGCAUAUCGAUCUUAUAUUGUUUCCUUGAACCCGGCUUGCCUCGGCAUACUUUGUGCUGGCGCUCAGUUCUCUGUAGUCUAAUGUGCUGUCAUGAAUAAAGGCGAGUUACGGUGCUGUGCGAGUGUGAGAGUGUGUUUUAAAAAAUAUUUCUAAACAGAAAAAAGAUCAUUUCAAUCCUAGAACCACUGUUAGACCACUUGUUAAUUUCACUCACUCCGAAUUAUUAAAAAAUUAGUUGUAUUGUAAUAUUUAUCAACAAGGAAGAUGUUUAAAUUUUGAUUUGGACUAAGAAUAUAAUUUGUUAAUGUGUCUGCACAGACGGCAUUAAAGCAGAAGAGUACAUCAUUUCACACCAAACAUAAUUAUGCAGCAAAGUCUGCACCGAGCCCAAUAAAUAAACUAUAGUGCUAAAUAUUUGACAGAAUACUAAUAAUUCUAAUAUGCAUUCAUUAGAGACUACAGGCAUCCUAAUAAAUAAAUGAAUGGGAGGUCCAGCAGCAUCAUGCCAAAGCUUCUCAUCUAUAAAUCUAAUGUUAUUCUGGAUGCAGCCUGUUUACAUGGGGCCUAAUCUUCUCAUUCAUACCGGCUGUGCAUGUGUGUGUGUAUGUGAGUGUGUUUUGCAUGUGAUAUUAAGUGUGAUCUAAAGGGCUAAAGCACCAUCUGGUGGUGAUACAGCACAGUGCUGUGCUCUGAAAUAGGGCUCUCUCUGUGCACUGAUGAACCUUCAUGACCAGGUUAAGACGUUUCUGCAGAUACUAAGGAGACAACUUCAUUUUGAAGCUUUUGAAACUUUUCUGCGUUUUUUCGCAAAACACUUGUUCAAGAGCUUUAUGAGUGAAAUCUGUUUACACGUUUGACCUGGAAAAAAACUUUCAAAGGAGACUUUUAGGUCAGGAAAGAUUAUUUUUAUGUACUGUUUUAUUUUUCAGCUUAUUGUCGUAAAAAUAUCCAGAGAGCAAAAUCCCCAUGCAAAAAAAAAUCUCACAUUUGUUGCAUCACCGGUGCUGAAGCUUGUUUAUUUGCAAAAUAGCAUUAAGGCUUGUCCAGCGUUUUUGACUCACAAUUCUUUGUACACAAAAGACUUAUUUGCUGUAAUGCAUGUAGAAAGGGCCUCACUGUUCUGUCCUCUCUAAUUGGUGCUGUCAGGCAUCCCUUCGCUGGCGUGUUUCACAGUCUGAUCUGAUAACCCAGUCCACAUGAAGAGAGGAGUGAACGACAGCCUGAGCCAAGUUAAAAAAAAAAGAAAGGAAGAGGAAGAAGAAGAGAGGAGAUGCAGGUGGUUAAGGAUGAUCGACUGCCAAGUAGACGACAGCCUGCUCUCUCUUUUAUAUAUAAAUAGUUGUCUUUCACUCGGUAUCUGUGCAAACAAUUGCUGAUCAGAGGUGUGUAAGCAGGUAGAGGGGGAGGGCCUCUAAUGCAACAUGACAAAAGUGCUACUUUGAUAUCGCUCGUAUGAUUACCCUCGUUAGGAGCUAAGUGAUAAGAUAGAAUGGGAAAACAGACAUGAAGGCCUUUUAAGUGCAGGGAGGGGCAUGAUGUAGAAGUGAAUGCAGAGAAAACACUUGAUUUCUUUUACUCUGUCUUUCCCACUAACUCACCAGUCCAAAUUUCUUUGACAAUUUCAACCUUUUUUUAUAAACAUUUCUCAUGUUUCUUUUCUUUAAUUUGGCAUGCAUUUGUGGGUGUGUGUGUGUGUGUUCAGGAAAAUGUGUGACCAUGUGUGUGUGCGUGACAGUAAUACCUGUGUUACAGUCAAAAGUAAGUAACUUCAGAAGUCGAGUGUAUCAUGUUGCGGGGAUCUUCUCUGUGGUGACAACAGUGAUUAAUAAUGGAAAGCAGUUGUUGGCAUCUCCAGCUGAAAUUUUCAUGAAACUUCGCUAACGUGAUUAAAGUGUACGUCUUCCUAGAGUCACUCCGAGUCUUUUAACUCCAAUCUCUGGGGAGGGGCAACAAAUCAUGGUUGAGACAACAUGUCAAAUCGCACAGAAUCUUCUGCACGUCAGAAACAAACUCCUUUUCUUUUUUUCUGUUUGUCCUUGCUGAUAUUUGAACUCCUCAGUUCUUACAUUGAAAAAGUUUGAUUAUUUGCAGCAUUUUACAGUUUUUUUUCUCACAUAAUUUCCUUUUAAGUUAAUUGUAAUUUUUCUUAUAAUUUCAGAAAGCGGGCCUUAGGAAUAUGAUUAAUGUUACUGUUAAACCCUUUAUUGCCAGGUACACUGGGGUCAAGACAAAAGAAAUGUAUUUUAUCACAUUCUAGACCAAGUUUUUCCAACAAUGUUAGGCAUGAGUCAAAAAUCAGAGACAAACAGGUGUCCCAUUUGUAAAUUUGAGCAAAUAAGUGCUCAUUUGUCUUUUUUUAAAUGCCUUGAAAAACCAUGCAGAUCAGUUUUUCUUCACAUGUUAAAGUCUACAUACCCAAAUGUAAGUGUUUCAGUCUUACACCAUGCUGGAAAAUCACCAAAUAAUUUUCUUCCUGAGCCCAGAUAAAUAAAGUUGACUGCCAGCGUGCCAAGUGUCUCUUCCUGUGAAAAAGUGAUCUAUAUUUCAGAGGAAUUUAAUGACAUUUCUAUUUUCUCCUCUCAGAGAGACUUCAGGAUUCAUCUUUAUAUUUUUCUGUAGCGAAUGGAUAAAUGCAUUUGCAGCUUCUGCUCAGCUAAGUUUAUUUAUAUCUUAGGAUGCAUUUAGAAGCCCGGGCUGCUGUCACGGGGAGAUGGCUCUGCUCACUUUGGAUUGUGAGGUGAAAAUGUAUGAAAAAAGGCUUGAGAUGGAGAUUCAGCGCAAAGUAGCCGGGAGUGUUGUGGCAGCAAAAAUAUCAGCUCGCUUAAAUGCUUUCUCAAACAUUUCUUGAAGAGGCACCAAGAUUAUCCGUUAUCUUUCUUUUUUCCCCUCUCCGUCUUCUCUCUUUUAUUUUUUGUCCCCCAAAUUUCUCCUUUUGUGUCUCUCCUUCAUCCCUAAAUUUUCCACACACUUCUACAGAACUCCUCAGCAGAUUUCUCCCCUCUGUGCUCUCUGAAACAGCAACACAGAUUAAAACAGUAUCAGUAUGUUAAUGAUGGGAGCUAAACUUCUUAGUUUUAUCAUUCAUUCCUCAUGUUUGUUCUCACUUGUUUUCACACUUAAGGACAGUAUUAAUUGUAAUUCUGUUACUAGAGAUCUUUCUUUGAAAGGACUGAUUUAAUGCAAACAAAAAAAAAUGUCAGUCUUUUUUUCCCCUCAUUGUUAACAAUCCUCUGAAAUUACCAUAACUGGAAAUUGCAUCAUUCACAUCAGUGUAUGUUAUCAGUACAUCCAAGGCCUGAUUCAGUGUAUCCUAUUCCUUAACUUAUUUGGACCCACUUCUAAUGAGCAUGAAUUUGCAAAUGGAAAUCGUCCUCGGCAAAUGUAACUCUUAGUGUUGUUUAAAUUAUGUUUGAACGAUCAGUUUUUAUUUUCCAAAGUAAAAACCUGUGGAAAUGGGAGUUAACAGCAAAACACGUUUCUGAGAUGAGGAUUAGAGAAGACACUUUAAGGAAGUCAAAUACUUGUCAUAUCCCUGAAGUUCUCAAGUACUGAUGUUUAGUCAAGGCCCUUGUUAAGACCAGAAUAGCGUCCAGUUUCCAGUUAUAGGCAGGGGCAAAUUCUCAGUUCCAUCAUGGAGAUCAACUUAAGUUCAAGUAUAAAAAUAAGUCCAAAAUCAGUGGAAAAGGUGUUGCACAAGGAAAAAAAAGAACGCUUUUCAGCUGAGAGCAUCUCAGAAGAACUGAUGGUUGUAAAUAAAAUUAAAAAGUUGAACGCUGGUGUUUGGAUGCAUCUUUAACGUAUGGAGGGAUACGCCAUAUAAGACAGUGCACUUCAGUUCAUUUCAUAAGCUUAUAGACACAGUUAUACAGAGCAACACUAAACUCUGUACUCAAAUGUCCUGUUUUUGUCUCACGACCACAUCUCUGUCCUUAUUCAGUUCUCUGUUUGUUUGUCUUUUUGUCAUAUUCUGUCUCUAAAACCAUUUAACUGUAAUAUGUUCAUUCGUAAUUAUUUUUAUACUGAGCGCCCUCAUACCUUGGUUACAGCAAGUUAAUAUGCCGCUAAAAAGAUUGAUGUGUUGUGAAAGAAUAUGUAUUGAUAAUAGAAAGGAUAGAAACAAUAUCAGGAUCUGAUAGAAAGGCCUGCUUUAUUUAUUGACCCUCUGCAGUAAAAGAAAAUAAAAACCUGAGUUUAUAUUUGAGGAUUUAUGGGCCUGAAAUAAACACAGGGAGUUUUGAGUAUAUAUUGAUAUGUAUGAACAGCAGCAACCUCAGUCCUCAUCUACAAGUCAUAAGUAAAUAGCAGUGAAGUAAAUUUCAGCUCAGUUUAAACCUCUUUUCCUCUUCCUGAUGGUUUAACAACAUCUACACAGGCCAACAUACCCGGCCUAACAACACCACCUUUACACUUCCUCCUGGAUUAUAAUGUUAUUCAAACUAUAUGCUGUAAUUUGAACAGAGCAGAAGGGCUUGUGCUGACUCAAAUUUCCCUCCUCAUUUGACUCUCUCUACUUCCAAUCCUCUUUAUUUGGGCUUCCAAAGAGCGAGCAGCAUAAAUUGAAUAAAAAGAUGUGUGUAAAUGAAUAUGAAAAGCAAUGUUCUCUUCAGUAGAGCAAUGAUCACUGUUUUCACAUUCCAUCUCAUUUUUGUGUUUUCUCUCCUACCUUUUCACACUCUUCCCCUAAGGCAAUAAAACAGUACUUUUACAUAUAUUACCUUUUGAUUAAUGGAGCUGUAUUCAUUAUUCUGCCCUAUUGCUAAUUAGAAAACGCACCCUGCUAAUGAUAUACAGUUGGAAUAAUACUUGCCCACGAGGCACGCUAUCACAUCAGGUUUCAUGCUCGCUGCUACGAGCCUUUAUCCACAGAUGCCUCCUUCAACCCCGCGCGGCACGUCCAUUAGCAAAAGAGUCACGGCUAAGACUGGGUGUCAUUGUUUUUUUUUCUGGCAUAAUGAGGCCUGUUUUCUCGGGGGAGUUGUCGCUGAGGGUUGAUGAGGUGUGCAAGCAUUGAGUCAGUCUUAAUCAGGAGAUUUGUGAGGGCACAAGAAUGUGUAUGUGUGUGUGUGUGGUCCUGAUUUAUUUUGUAUUGCACAGGUAGAUAUCUUAAUUUUGUGAAAUUUUGUAACAUUAUUUUAUUUCGUAGUGCGGUGCAGACAGAUACAGUGAAAGGGUUAACGUGGUAUGGUAGCAGCAGUAGCCCUGAAAAUGCUCCUAUGUGACCGUCCUGUCAUGGUCCAAACAUCCAAUGGUAGUGACAACCAUCAAUAUCACACCAGCCGACUUGUCUGUACUAAUGCAGGUUUAUUCCCCUGGUCAGGCCCCAACUGUGUUAAUGGCUGGAGGGGUGUGAUGGAGGCGGAGGGGGAGGGGAAGGGUCGUGACAUAUUGGUGACAAGGUAACACCAACUUUUGGGCUGACAUCUGUCAUUUGUCCUCGUAAGACAAACAGCCUCCUGAUACUUUGUAUCUUGGCUGAUGAAAAGGCUAGUCUAUCCAUUUUACACAUGAUCUCAAACAUUUUUUUCUACAUUUUCAUUUUGGCUAGACUCCAAUUUAUUUUUUAUUUUAAAUUUAGAUUUAUUCAAAUACCUUAUUGAAAUUUCUCAACCAGAGAUUAGUAAGAAAAAUGCACUCUGCUCUUAAAAGCUGUGCCUCAAAAUGUUAUCCUAAAUACUCUAGUCUUUUACUGGCAAACAUGUUGUAUCUAAAGGCAGCAAAAUCAUAUUAUCCAACUUUAUCUUAACUGCAAAAAUAUAUUCCAGGGUUCUUGAAAUUUGAGUCAUACCAGUUUCAGAUGUAGUCUGUUUUGGAGAAAAAGAUUGAUAACAGGCCUGUCACAUUACCAGAUUUUUGCCCUCUGAUUAUCAUAAGCAUAAAAUAAAAUGAUAAUGACAAUAUAAUUACAAAAUUCAUGGAAAACGUGAUAGGUAUACAAUGCAGUCAGUCAAAUCAAGAAAAGUUAAGGCAAGGAUGGAGCAAUAUGUUACUCUAUAUACGUAAUUAACUUACAUAUUACCAUUUAUUUGCAGCAAUGUUCACAUCUAUGGUUUGUCUCAUCACCAGCCCUGCAACUGAAACGUUUUUGGAGAAGAUGUUGUCUCAUAAAAUGAUUGUUUGUCGUGCUUUUAUUUUCAAUUUUUUUCCUGUCUUGCAUUUAGUUUGCUACAGCUGGCUCACCAGCAGCUCCUGCUUCUUCUUAGUCCGUCUUCAGUUUUACAGAGUGGCAACUGGCUUAAAGGGGGGGUAACAUACUUUUCCACAUUUACAACAAAAACUGCAAAGUUACAAUGUUUGGUGUCCAAACUACAUGUAUGCAAAUUUUCAAAUCACAAGGUAAACCUAAUUCGUCAAAAUAUUAGAAAAUACAUAUAAACUGCACAAAUCUCAGACAAACACUCGACAAUGCAAGACUGUAGUUUAUGUUCGAGAUUUACUAAGAAUUGUAGACUCUCCUUACUGGUUCAAUCUGUGCUUACAGCGGGAAACAGCGAGCUCUGACACCAGCUGGCUUCCGGAAAGCCUUCGGAGAGGUAGCCAAUCAGAAGAAAGUGGGCUUGUGGAGGGGGGGCCUUAAAGAGACAGCAGCUACUGAAGCGUUUCAGAAGAAGGCUGAAAUAAUGAUAUUUUAAUACACCACUGUGAGAAAUUUGAGGCUUUUUUGAUAUGAAAAUCACGUAAAGCUGUUAAAGAGGUAUCAGAAAAGAAAUCUAGAGUCUUUAAAAAAUGCAUAAUACCCUCCCUUUCCCCCCUUUAAACAAAAACGACUAUAAACUCACAGGAUUACUGUGUACUUAUUUUUUUAUCACAGUAUCAAUAUUUCACUAUUUUUUUAAAUACAGUUAUUGUGAACUGUCUUUGACAUCUUUUUUCAUCACCUGGAGUUGCAACUCCUGUUGAAAUAUUGGACUUAUUUUUUUUUCAACCUUUAAAAAUAGGUAAAAACCCCUUCAGAUUGAGAUCUCUUUUAGAAGGGUGACCUGGCCAAGAGGUCAGCAACACACUAACGACUUACGCCUAUGAUACAAUUUUUGGUCCUUGGGUUUGGACCCCACCACCAAUUACCUAAGACUUGUACCACCCAGUUUUGCUAUAGUUUUGCUAACUUCAUGCCACUAUUUUUAAGAGCAUGAAUGUAAUCUAUUGAGAGAGAAUAAAUUUGUUGUCAAAAUUAAGUACAGAUCACUUUGGACCAUAAUUCCAAUCUCCAAAGAUCAUAUUCAGCAGAUAUUAUAAUAUAGAGUGUGGCAAAACACCUCUCUGUUGUGCUUGAAGGUACAUAUAUUUUCCUCUAGCUUGACAAAAUUGAAAAUUAAACCCAUCUUUUGUGUCUCUGUUUUAACAUUACAGCACUUUCUCCAGGCUGUGUGUCAAACUGAGACUCAUGCACAUGCGCACACAAAAUUGCAGUGCCAGAAAUUACGCCUCUGGUCAGAGCAAAAUAGAGAGCGUGUCUGAGAGAGAGUUUUCUUUGGUUUCAUUUGACCCUGCAAUAAGGGAAGUGAAAAGGCUGUAGUAGCUACAGGAGGUAGAUUAGAGGAGGUCUGCUCUCUGCAGUCUACAGAGAGAAAGUGUCAAAGGUCAUAAAGAAAACCUAGGAAAUGUGCCAAGGAGCCGUUAACACUUCUUUCCUACUUUUGUGGCUCAGAGGUCAGCAUUUUCUAAAAUUACCCCUUCUUAUUUUCUCUUUGCUGCUCUCUGCAAGCACCAUUACAGGCCAGCGCACAGCCAUUAGAGAUCAACAGCCCAUACAGUUGUAAUAGCACCCUCACAUAGCUCUAGGGUCUGCUAACCUAUAGCCUCUGUGCUCUAUGAGCCUGCUGCUGUAGUUCUCACUGAGGUCAAGUAGGUUAGCACUGAGGCUGUGCUGCAGGAGUACAGGCAGUGCAACAAGCAUGUUUACAAUCUGUCCAAGCUCUGGUUAAAUAAUAAUGAUAAUGUGAUGCUUUAUUGAUUCCUGAGGGAGAAUUGUUUAUCCAAAGGGAGUUCACAGUGUGCCUAUUACACUGAUUUCAUUGUCUGCCCUAGGGCACAUAUAGUUUUUAUGCUACAGCUGGAUCUACAGUAAUAACAUCUGUAAACAUCUCUCUUUUGUCUUUUAACUCUGUUGAUUCAAUUGAUUUAACAAAGGAGAUAUUGGUUGAAAAUGGAGCAGCUAAGGCAAAACGGAGACAAAGGUUAGGAGGAUUUGAAAGAGUUGUAAUACUGCAUUGUACUGGAUCCUGUAACUUUCUGAUUUUAGUAACUACAAACACUCUCAAUCUUCUAAAACCUGUUAUAGGGCCCUCCAAAUCCUGUAUGAGGUUGAAAUAGAACAUUAGAAAAGAGUGAUUGUUUGGCUAAUGUAAAUUCAGAAUAUCAGCUCUGUGUGUGUGUAGACCUGUUUCUACAUUAUGAAUCAGAUAAACUUGUGAUAAGAGAUUUAACAACUUUCAGAACUUUGUCAUUUUAAUAUUUAGGUGCUCCCUCUUGUAUUUAGACCUGUUCUGAUUGUUUGGUUAGACGUUCAGCUAUGCUCAGCAUGGGGAAAAAUCUAUCCGGAUUGACACAGAAUUGCAUUGUCAACUAAAAACAUAGCAUGCAGUCGUAGAGGAAGACUUGCCACUACACUAGGCAAGAGGAGAUAUUUCCUUCUUUGUCCCUCUGGACCCUCGAAUCUCACUUUUCCAUUUUGAUCGCAUCACAUACUCAGUACUUACUGAGUCCUCCAGAGAUGGUGACUUGUCUGUCAGAGUGACAUGAAGGCAAUGAAGUCAAAACAUGAAAUCACAGGAGGUGACAACACUGCGAGGACAGAUACAGAAAGUAGCUUGAAUCUUAUCGUCACAUUUGCUGUAUGCAUCACACAAUUUCCUCAGGCUGCCCAGCUCUGUCUUUUCCUCUUUUUUACAAAAAAGAAAAUUAAACUAGGUCUUACAUGUGCAACUCAUCAACUAUCCUAAGGCAACAUAGAGUAAAAUAGUAGUAACCCAUUUUGUAGGGUUUUUGGGGAGGUUUUGGCUGCUUAUGAAACAGGCGUGAAUUAAUAGUGAUGUCUUUUUAUGACCAACAAAAGCAAAGCCAAAAAGGACCAUUAACUACAAAAAUGAAAACCUCUAUGUUUUUGAUUUUAAUGCCUCUAACUAAUAUUAGGUAUAAGAUGAGAUGACUUACAUUAUGCUGAAGAAUCUUUUGUACUUUUCCCUCAAAAAUAUUCCAAAUGAGUGACACAUUUUACUUUUAGAGGAAAGCAAAAAUCAGAAAAUUUGUAAGGGGUAUUACCAUUAUCAUUCCCACAAACUAAAAGUUCCUCACAUAGUCUCCAACAUAUUGACCCAAAUAUUAAACAUUUUUAUCUUCUUUCUUGAUAUAUCUGGAAAAAAGGGCUUAUCUUUCAGUCAGAGUUUUGGAUUUGAUUGCUAACAUAUAGUUUGUUUACAACAGUGGACUAUGCCACUCGUUUGUAAAAUGAGUUCAUGAGAACAUUAAUCAGUACUUGUCAAUGUUCAUUGACAGUAGAAAUGAAAAACUUUCUGUCAAAUGUAGAAAAUGUUUGACCAGAACUGAAGUAUUUAUCAUUAUACACAGGAUCAAAUAGUUACGGGCAAGAAAAAAAACCUAAACCGGCAGCAGAGCCACUUAUUCAAUUAUUUUAUCAGCCAUCUGUAAAAGACCGAUACAGACAAUCAGCGAGAUAUCGGCCCUAAUUGUGCCCCACUUUACUGAAGCCAGCUGUUACAACUACAGCACCAGGGGAAUAAAAGAUACAGAGACAAGUUGAUUUCUGAAACACAGUGGCUUGAAAGUUGGCUAAGCUAUUUAACAACUGAGACAGACUUCUGUUGCAAUUUUAGGAUAACGGUCAGAUAAACUUUCAAGGAUCCAAGAAAUACAUCACAGGUUGUCAAGUCUGAAGAUGGCAAGCCACAAAAGAUUGUCUUCAAAUGUUUGAGUUUGUUAUUAAAAAUUACCAGACCAUCUAUCCACUCAGAAGACUACUUCGGCAUCCAAACCAUAGUUGCUUCAUUUACAAAUGUGACAAGGUUCAGUUUCACUGAAGUGUGACAAUUUACUUAAAAAACAAUAAAUGAAAAAAUUGCCAUUAAAGAAGUGUUAAAAUAACAGAUUUUUUUAAAGUUCAAAAUCUAUGUUUGACCAUUAUUUACUUUUAAAUUGGUUUAGGUGUAAAGUAAGGUUUGAUCUUCAAAAAGUCUUCACUAAAAUGUAAUCAUUAAUUGUCUCAUAUUGAAGUCAUUAUAGUGUUUAUUGUUCAAUAUCUUUCACUGUCCACACUAGUUUGAUUUAUAAACAUUGCAUUUUUUUUUCAAUUUAUUUUUGAACAGCAAGAAAUUUUAUACUUCCUUUUCAAGCCGUGACAUGUCCAAUAUUUCCUGAAGAAAAAAGAAAGUAAUGCCAAAUACUUUCAAUUUGACUGUUUAAGCAAGUAGGACUGGUUAAAUUGUCUGUUAAUUCAUUUUACGGUUAAAAAAAAAGAUAUUGCACUGGAAAAAUAAAAUGCUCCUUCAAAUAGGGGCAUUAAUGUUAAAUAGAUAUCCAUUCUUAGCCCGAUGCUAAAAUGUCAAUACUAAUAUUACAGUAAUCGACAUCACUCAUCAUGACAAAGUUGGUAUUAGUGUCUACUACUGAGAGAAAAAACUAGUUCACAGUCAACAGAGAACAUUACAAAGAUUUUUAAGUUAAGCCUGCCUUUUAAUCGUAGAACAGAUUGUACAGUUGAAAACUGCUGAGUAAAGCAAACAAAGGUUGUAGAAGAAGUGAUUUCUAAACUUAUUUUGCCUCAAUGAAUUUUUUUUAAACUUUGUAUCAAAUAUGUUUUGGAAAAUUUGAAACUCCACUAAAAUACAUGUUUGUGAAAGUGAGUAAUGUGCUAUUUUGGUUUGGUAUAUUCUUUGCAAAAUUUUUGAAGUUUGACAUUCUCCAGUGUUGCUCUUGCUCUUAAGUACAAAGCCUCUCCAUCCUGUAGUUGGUGUUCUUUUCAUUAACAUUUUAUUUAGGUGAUAAUUAAACUUCAUUGUUAACUUUCAACUUUGUUCUCUCAGGUUUGCUUUGUUCUGUCUUCUGCUCCAUACCUCUCUGCUUCUAAAAGCAUCAUGCGAAACCUGCCUCAUCCUCAUCCCCAACGCUUGUUCUUCAUCCCUACAAUGAGUCUUUACACCAGGGCGACCUCAGGCCUUCAAAGAGUUAAGUUGAGGGUGUAGGAGAAAGAGUGCUGGCAUGGAUCCCCAGGACAGCAGGCCAAUUAUAAAAUUAUGAGUGAAGUGUUCCUCUAGAUCCCCCAAAAGAACCCCAUUACCCAGAAGCCUUGGCUUUGAACACCUCUCCCACAUUAAAGAUGAGUCAACCUCCAGUGCUGGCUCCUGUCAGGCAAAGGUUCUGCAACGGAAGCCUUUUCUUCUUCCUCUUCUUCCACAUCUCCCUGAGUGUUUGAGAGCAGCACCACGGAGCCACAGUUUCCUCACAGUGUCGGCUCUCAGGCAGCUCUGGCACUGUGACAGCCAGAAGAAACAGUGAGUGCCACAAUUGACAUAUUCCCCAUCCUUUUGGCAUGUCAUCUCCCUUUUUCUGGACACCUGAUUGAUUCUGACAGCCUAUAUUGGGUAUUUCAUAUGAAAGAGAAUUUGGCGAUUAAAUCUUAAUGAGUUGGAAUUUCUCUCAGUGCUUUUAUUACAGGCCGCCAGUUUUGAACAUUUUUCAAAGCAACACACCCAAAUUCCACUGUUUGCAAUGAAUUAAUAAUACAGUCUUGUCACUGAAGUAUCAUGCAUUCUUUAAUCAGGCUUUUGGGGUCUGAAGCAGAAGCUUCUUGAAAGGUAUUUCUUUAUGAUCAGAACAAUUACAAACUUAGCAGCAAUCACAAAGGGGAUACUCAUAAAGUCAUGCAUACACAUACAGAAAAUGUGUGCGAGUGUGUCAGGCACAAAACAAAACCCUCCGGGCAAACUUUCUUGCCGCCUGUAUCUGAAUUAUACGUCUUGACUGGCUCACAUCAGUUAUGACUUGGGACUUGAGAAGAGGCUGAGGCCAAAGGCUGUGUGAACUGCGAGCACAAAAGAACAGAAGCAGCCGACACGUCUCUUCUUCUGUGUUCUUAAGAUCUCGCCAAGUUGUGGAAUAAACAUCCCCAAGUUUAGCUCUCGACCCCAGACCUCAUACCCCUCCUUUCUACAGCCAGUCUACAUCUCACGUCAGAGUCUUUGGGGAGAACUUCAUAUUUUGUUUCAAGGCCUUUGCAAAGGCACAAAGUGGUUGACCAUGCAUUGGCUGUUAAUGACGCUUUCUCUGCUUUUGGCAGUAAAUGUAAUAUAAAUAUGUUUUACUUUAUUAUCACCUACUUAUCAUCUACCUGUCUUUGAUACUUGAUUCUGAUUGGUCAAAACAGUAGCAGUUAAUUCUGAAUAGGAUCGGUGAAGCCUCGUCAUGACACACUUCAUGUCAAACCCAGCACAUUACAAAUGUUAUGAUUUCACCUCAGCCCGUUGACAAUGUGCUAGUGUGAACAAUAUGGAGGAUUGUUUAAUAUUACUCUCUGUUACUUUGGAGAUUACACUCUAGAUUGGUUAUUGGCCGGCCUAUACCAGCACAGAAGAGAUAAUAGGACUGUACGGAAACUAACAAGAGAGGUUAAAAAAACAAGCUGAGGGACAAAGUCACAAAACAGACAUGAAGCAGUCAAAAACCACAAGGUGGACAAGAUCCCUCCACUGUGUUGGGGUCUUGUCUCACCUUGUUGGUAUUCUGUUUCAUGUAGCCACCCACUCACUAUCCAUCAGCCCUUAAUUUGAUAAUCAUUUCUAAUAUGUUAUUGUUGGUUAAAGCUGUUUGCUGCUGAGUGGAGAUAACCAUAGAUGACACUAAAUUUUGGCUUUAAGAACAGUAAAGAUUUAAGGCUGCUUGAUAAUUUUAGCAUCUCAGCACGUCGAUUCCUGUCACCUCACCACGUGAGAAUUAUUUAUCUGCUGUUGAACUUGAUCCUACAAAACAUGCAGACUGACAGUUUGAGGGUCUGUUUCCAUACUGAAUGAAGUGUCAGAGAUGGUGCGCUUUUAAUUGCUUCAGUUAUUUAGACGUGUCGCAUUUUUCUCCUUGUAAGCUGACUAAAACUGAUAGUAAGCUUCUAAGGGUAAAAGGUCAACAUCAGUGUUGUGGGAUUGACAAUAUAAAAAGCAGCAGAGCCUCCGUAAACAAAUUCGUGACUUAAAAAUCAGCGGGCCAUUGGCAGACUAGUGUUACAUCUUUAUCCAGAGAUCUGUGUAACUGUAUUUUCAACACUGAUUUGUCAGGAAUUUGUGAUGGUAAAUCUUUACACCUCCGAAAAUCAACCCUCCAUAUCUGCUCACAUUGAAGACAAAAUGCAAAUUUGUGUAGGUAGUUUGUUCGGUCUCCUUUGUGUCGGUGUUGACAUGUUUAUCAUGUCUGCGUUUGGCUCCUACCUGGGAACCUCUGUGGCUUCUGUACCACUGCCAGCAAGAGAGACGAGGAGAUGGGACUGUUUUUAUUUCAUCAUCUCAAAUCAUGAUACUGCCUGCAUCACCCACAAUCCUCUCUUUAUCACUUUAACACCCUCUCUGCAUCUCUGUGUGUGUAUGUGCACUGACAUAGUAAUAAAGGGAGAAAAAGAACCAGGUAAAGCAGAAAAAAGAGAGUACUCAGCAAAAUGUCUGAAACGUACUCGCCAUCAAAUGCAGGAAUCACAGCAGGGGCUGUUAUUCUCUGAAAACUGUGUGUUGAAAUUCUCUGGCUGUCUCAUAUGUGUGUAAGUGAGCGCUGACUUUCCCUCGCAGGGCAGAGCAAAAGACUAUGACACCGGGGUUUGGUUUUUGUCUAAAAAGAGAAAGGCCUUUAUGGAAGGAUUGACUUUUCUGUCUCUUUGGAGUUUGCUUUUAAGAGUCUCUUGUGUUCUUCUUUACAAAGUACAAGCUCUGCUGAAAACAGCCCUGUGCGCUCCUUAUGUUCCCGAGCAGAAGAUAGAACAGUUGGUGCCCCUCAAUAAGUUAUACCCUCACCAUCAUCAUCAUCAUCAUCAUCACCCCAACUCAGGAACACGCAACAGUCUGGAAGAAUUUCAGGUAAAAAGGCCUGGCCUAAUUAGUUCCCAUCAAAAAUGUAAUUCUUUUUCUCUGAAUUAUGCCGCAAGGGUUGAGUAGCCAAAAGCGAAGAUACCUGGUGGAUGAAAAAAAAAAAUAAUGAAUGAAAAAAGAUAUUCUAACCUCGAGCCAUAAGUACAUUUAUAUGCUUGACAUGACUCGGCCAUCAAUGUUGGGUCGAAUUCUAAUUUAAUUUCUGAGAUGUAUGUGUAAUUUUGCCAUUAAUAUGAAUGUUAGCACCCUAAAUAUUUUACACUUCUCAUGGAUAUUGUGAGUGUCUCAUAUAUCCUUCAAGAGUGUAUUAAUUAAUAAACUCCUUUCUGAUACUUUUUUUGUGCAGGAAACUUGUAAUAGGAGCAUGCAGGUAGGAUGAUGUAGAGAGAGCAGCCAGAACAGAGUUGUCUGGUGCCUCAUUAACAUCCCCAGUUCAUUAGGAGGAGGCUUUUUUCUUGUCAUCUUUUUACAACGUGCCAAUGUUGUGUGGCCUUUAAGCUAAUUAAUAAUUAAUUAAUUAACCAAAUUAAUUCCUAGGUUAGAGAUGUUGUUCAGUAGUGAGGCCAGUCGGUUUGGAUUUGGGCCCCGAUGGGUGAGGCCCUUUACAAGCUGAUGUUGUUCAUGUUUCUGACAGUGCCAGCCCCCCGUCUAAAAGCCCUAGCAAGUGCCAUUUGUCUCCGGGUUAACAGAAAGACGAGAUAUAGGGCGGGCUGAAUAAUUUAAGCUCCCACAACACAUGCACUUUUGCUUUUCAAGCAUGAGUUAUAAUUUAAUUAGAAACUUCUGGUGCGUUGCUGGCUAUUUAAAUAUUAAAAUCUUCCGCUGAUCACAUUGGAUUAGCCAUCCCUGUGAAAUUCCCUGAGAUGUCAGUUGUUGUCUUUCUAUCUCCCCUCUCUCUCUCUUCCCCCCACUUCUACUCUCACUCUCGCCGCUUUCUCGCAUUUCCGUCUGUGUUUUCUGAACUCGGCGCGCUCACAGAUUGUUUGUCGACUCCUCCAUUAGAGACAAUGGAGGGAGGCGUUGUGGACCUUUGGGAGCCUUAAUGGGCAUCAGUGUGCGUAAGCGUGUGAAUGGCUGACCUGAUCUGAAUGAAAAGAAAGAGGCUGUGCUCAUUAUCAGCUCUGGAUUGCAGGAUGAUUACAUUAGGAUGCUCCCCUGACGGUGGUAAAACAAGGGGUGGUAGUGGAGAUGGGUAUUAGAGGUUGACACUGGAUUCCUAUUGCCAUGUUGGGGCCUGUUGUCCAGCUGUUUUUGUCCCCUGAAUUUAAACAGUGCAACCUGUUGACUUGAGAUGAUGUGUCUUUUGCCUCUGUGUCUUAGUGGAGCCAUUUAUCUGCAAAGGCAUGGCAAGUUUAUUUACAUGGCACAUCAUUGCAAACAAGGCAUACAGAUUUUAUAAAACAUUAGGGCCUGUGCCUAGCGACUUUUCUUUUUUUUUUCUUCUUUUUUGCACCAGCAGCACCCAUGUCUCAUGUAAAACUAAUGCAGUUCAGCAUUGUCACUGCUUAAUGUCUUGAGAAAAAUGCUCUCAGUGCCAGUUUUGUUGUUGUUCUUACACUGUCUAGGUUAAAAAUAGUUAAGUGCUUGGAGCUGGGUGUCCUUAGCAGUGUCACCUCUUCUUAAGGGAACAGUUUCUAGGAACAAGUUAUUUCCUUUUUAUUUUUUCAUUUUCUCCACAAAAUUUUAUAAAACCCAUGAAAGAGGAUUAGGGCCACAAGAAGAAAAAAAUAAUAAUUACAGGAGAAAACUUAAAAUUUCCAUUUUGAGAUUAAAGUUGAAAUUCACAAAAGUCGAGAUGAAAUGCCGUGUGGCUUAAAUUUGUUGCAGCCAUCAAUGUGCCCAAGCACAUUGGGUCCUCAGCUUCAGUAAUGCCUGCGUCUAGGACGCAGGGCUCGUCUGUGCUCCACGCCUUCAGGAUCAAUCAACUUGAUCAGUUGUCUCAUUUUAUCUUGCGAUACAACAUCGCUUCACUGGUGUGACCAUCAAUAACCCUGCAUCUGCAUCACAAUCUUCUUCGGUACAGUCUUUUCAUUACCUUUAAUCUCAACAUUAUGAAUUUAUUCAUGAAAUUUUGUCUUUAAUUGCGUCGACUUUAAUCUCGAAAUUUCGGCUUUAAUCUUGAAAUUUUGACUUCAAUCUUGUUUCCGUAAUUAUUUUCUUUCUCUUCAUGUGGCCCAAAUCUUCUUUCGUAAUAACUACAUAUGAAGCUUACAGAGAAAUGUAAAACAGCCUUGAUGGUUACUGCUAAGAGAAGCAGACAUACCAUCAGACUACUUUCAUAACACAGCAGGAGAAAGUGCCCUAAAAAGCACUAUGAAACUGUGGUUGUGGGCUCCAGCCCUGAAAAGGCAGUAAGUGUACACAGGCCCUUGUCCAAAACUAAGCUGAUAACACAAAUGACACUAAAACCCGACACCAUUACAUUUCAGCAGGAGAAACUUUACCUAAAAAUAAUCAAAGAAUAAUUGUGUUUAUCACAACUACUGUAUCUUUGGCUUGAGACUGUGUGAAAGAGUUAGGAGUGGCAGGAUUUAUUUUCACAUCAGCAUGUGAAGUUUAAUGGAAAAGGAUAAAAGAUGGACAAAGCUAGAGAAAUGUUCCAAAAAGUAAAACUAAUAGGCUGAAAAAGUAAAAUGGAUUUAUCUGAGUAUUCUUGAACACAACAGUAAAGUAUUAUCCAAUACGCUUGAGUACAUGUAUGUAGCUCCAGUAUGCUAUAAGACAAAAGCACAGCUAAACUAAAGUACAGGGGAAUCAACUUGAUCCCCUUUUGGCUCCACAACUGAUGCUUGUUAAUAGGAUCUGAUCGAUGCAGACACUAUCAGCAUGUAGAGUCUAUGCAAAGCCUCACUAUUCAGUUUAUGUGUGAGUUAUGGGUGACAGGUUGCUCAGUCAUCUCCCCAGUCAACCCUGUGACACACACACUCUAUCACCAGUGGCAAAGAUGUACUAGUGAUUCCUAGCUCUGGGCCAACUAUCUAAUUAUAAACCAGCAUCUACUUUAAUCUUCUGCUUCAGACUGUUAUUGAAGCUACAUGUGAGCUGGAGCCCUGCUUUCCUGCUGCCGAAACAUAAAAACCUUAGCUGCCUUUGAUUCAGGAAAAGCUCUCACGUACCUUACUUUUGCUUCCUCACUGUUUGCCUGUGUGUGUUUAUGUCUCCCUGUGUAUUCCUACCUGUCAUUUUGUGCAUCUGAACAGGUGUAUUUGUCUGCUCACAGUGGGUGAAUACAGUGCUCUGUUUCUCCAAACUCUGGGAGGGGCCCUGGCAGUAGCGCUGCGAUUGUGUGUCAAUCAGGCAGCGCUGCAGACGGCCUCUCAGGCCCCCCAUAGUGUGGGGUCCUGUUCUUCUUCUGUCUCAUGCUGUCAUUCAGAAUCCUUUUCAUCUCUGCCUCUGUUCCUCCCCAAAUCCCUCAAUCAGGACCAUCAGUCAUUCUCUGAGAAACAUUUUGAGCAUAAAUCUCCUUUAUGAACAGCUACUUUGAAAUUGAAAUAUUUACUACAAAUCAAGCAUGUUUUCAUAUAUCAGGUUAAAUAUCCUCCCUACUGCUAACAUCACCUCACCUCCUACAGGUGCUUACACUUUGAGCUCUGUUUUGAGCUCAUGCCUUUUUUUUAUAUUUUUUCACAUCCUGAUUUCACUGUACAAUAAUGAAUCCAGAAUUCCACAGCUAACCCAAGUAAAAUUCUCAGUUCAUAUAAACAAACCAGCCAUUAAGACUGAUGCUCUGGUAACAACAUAACCCACCUGUAAUGUAAUGACAACUACAUAAUGACAAUAGAAAAUUAAGACAAAGUUGAAUUUUCCUUUUGACUCACCUGUUAAUAAGUUAAAUCGUAAUUGCAAGUUUUGGCCUCUUUAGUUGUUGUACAUGUUAGUUUAUCAACAAAUAAGUUAAUAAAAAGUUAAAAGUGUCUGGUGUCUCAUGUACAUGGCCCACCUGUAAUGUACUGAUAUGUAAUUUUUUUCACAAUUACGCUUCACUUCACUGCACUCUUCAUUACUGCACUAUCGCACUACUGUCUUGUACUUGUAAGUUAAAUGUCGACUUUGAUUUGUACAUAAUUUGUGAUUUCUGUAAUUUUUCUGAUUAUUUUAAUUAUUCCUAACUUUUGUCAUUUUUCUUGACUUUUGUAAUAUUUCAUGUUUACUGUUAGUACAUGAUGGGCAAAGUUUACCGAAGUCAAAUUCCUUGUAUGUGUACACAUACUCGGCCAAUAAAGCUGAUUCUGGAAACUUGAAAAACUAUUUGGCAAAUUUGGAAAACCCUACCAUAGACUUUUAUGUCUUCAUGCAAAGAACAAUGCACAGUGAAAAAAAAAAAAAAAAAAAAGCGGUGAUAAAUGUAAACCAGAAUCCUGAAGGGGUAAGACAAGAACAAAAUAUACACGUUUAGCCAACGGAUUUAGCAUGUGUCAGGACUAACAACUCUUCCACAUAUUGAUUUUUUUUAUUAUGUGUUUGAUCUGAUUGUAUCCAACGUUGCUCUUAUUAUUCAGAAUUAAUCACCAUUGUCAAGGGGAUUAACAAUGGUCAUGGCCAAUCAGAAUCAAGUAUUUAAAUAUAAAGUUAAACUAAUUACAGUGAUUUUAAUAGUAUUGAGACACACUAGUGUGCUUGCGCAAUAUACAGUAUAUCUAGCUCUCCUUGCAUAGUGUGUAUACAGUAGUAAACUGUAGCCAAAGCUUGAGAAUUUUUUAUGAAGUAUCAGUCAAAUGUUUAUGUGCUGCACUGAUGAUAACUUUAUGUUUGCUUUUCCAGAACUUCUCUUUUGAUGUAAAAGGUCAGAAAGUUGAAGCUAAUAGUGUUGGAAAUGUCUAGGCACUUGGUUCUCUCAGGAAGCGGCUGCAGUGCAGAUCUGUCACUGAAUCAACUCUGAUUCAAGACAAGCUGUGAGCAACAGAUUUUCUUUAUCUCAUUCAGGUUAGAGUUUUUGGCACAUUCUUAUUUUCUGUUUGACCCUUACAGUGACUUCAGUUUGCCUUUUAAUGCCUCUUGUAAUACCCAAGAGGCCAGUAUGAUACAACUUGUAGGUUACAAAUAAAUUUCUCCUUUUAUAUAAGAGUGGUAAAAGGUUAGAAAAAUAAUUCAGAAGGAAAUAUGCUUGUAUUUGAGAUACAUCUAUUGCAAUAAUUAAAGAGUCCAGCUCUCUCUGUUCAGCCUUUUCUCUCUGCAGACUUCUCCAGAUGUUGUUUGACUUUUAUUUGCUUUAAUUUUUCAUCAGUUUGCACAGCUGUAAGGGUUGAAUUCACCAUACACAUGAAUAAAAAUAUACCCCUGUAAACAUUAUUGUGUUUAGUGAUAUCUCUUGGUUGCCCCUGAGAAAUGCUGGCUAAUCAGAGACAAAGAGAGAUGAAGGAGGACCAUAAAACGCGAUACUCUCCAGAUGCUCACACUGUCUGAUACUGUAGUAUCAUAAAGAUGGGAAGAGGGGGUCAGAGAGAGGUAAAGGUUCAUAUUUUUAAAAGGCUGAUUGCAUGAAUGUCUUGGGAUUUCUCUUUUUUUUUUUCAAUUUUGAAGAAGCACUCAGAGACUAAUUCAGUUCAUCUGGCUCAAAAGUACUCAGCAGCUCUUUGCUCUUAAACUUACUCCUACCUUCCCCAGAUUGUAUCUUUGGACCUUUACACCAUGAAUUCUGUCAUAUCUGUUGAUAAACUAACUUGUACAAAAAAUAAAGAGGCCAAGAAAGGCCAUAGUUGCAAUUACUAUUUAACUUUAAAUGUGAGUUAAAAGAAACAUUCAACUUUGUAUUAACUUUAUAUGAGGUGUUGGACCACUGCAACUGCAUUUCUGGUGUCUUUGAUCACUUUGUGUCCAUAGCAUAGAUAUACACUCACCGGCCACUUUAUUAGGUACACCUGUCCAACUGCUCGUUAACACUUAAUUUCUAAUCAGCCAAUCACAUGGUGGCAACUUAGUGCAUUUAGGCAUGUAGACAUGGUCAAGACAAUCUCCUGCAGUUCAAACCGAGCAUCAGUAUGGGGAAGAGAGGUGAUUUGAGUGACUUUGAACGUGGUAUGGUUGUUGGUGCCAGAAGGGCUGGUCUGAGUAUUUCAGAAACUGCUGAUCUACUGGGAUUUUCACGCACAACCAUCUCUAGGGUUUACAGAGAAUGGUCCGAAAAAGAAAAAAUAUCCAGUGAGCGGCAGUUCUGUGGGCGGAAAUGCCUUGUUGAUGCCAGAGGUCAGAGGAGAAUGGCCAGACUGGUUCGAGCUGAUAGAAAGGCAACAGUGACUCAAAUAACCACCCGUUACUACCAAGGUAGGCAGAAGAGCAUCUCUGAACGCACAGUACGUCGAACUUUGAGGCAGAUGGGCUACAGCAGCAGAAGACCACGCCGGGUGCCACUCCUUUCAGCUAAGAACAGGAAACUGAGGCUACAAUUUGCACAAGCUCAUCAAAAUUGGACAAUAGAAGAUUGGAAAAACGUUGCCUGGUCUGAUGAGUGUCGAUUUCUGCUGCGACAUUCGGAUGGUAGGGUCAGAAUUUGGCGUCAACAACAUGAAAGCAUGGGUCCAUCCUGCCUUCUAUCAACGGUUCAGGCUGGUGGUGGUGGUGUCGUGGUGUGGGGAAUAUUUUCUUGGCCCUCUUUGGGCCCCUUGGUACCAAUUGAGCAUCGUUGCAACGCCACAGCCUACCUGAGUAUUGUUGCUGACCAUGUCCAUCCCUUUAUGACCACAAUGUACCCAACUUCUGAUGGCUACUUUCAGCAGGAUAAUGCGCCAUGUCAUAAAACUGGAAUCAUCUCAGACUGGUUUCUUGAACAUGACAAUGAGUUCACUGUACUCAAAUGGCCUCCACAGUCACCAGAUCUCAAUCCAAUAGAGCAUCUUUGGGAUGUGGUGGAACGGGAGAUUCGCAUCAUGGAUGUGCAGCCGACAAAUCUGCGGCAACUGUGUGAUGCCAUCAUGUCAAUAUGGACCAAGCUCUCUGAGGAAUGCUUCCAGCACCUUGUUGAAUCUAUGCCACGAAGAAUUGAGGCAGUUCUGAAGGCAAAAGGGGGUCCAACCCGUUACUAGCAUGGUGUACCUAAUAAAGUGGCCGGUGAGUGUAAAACACAAUUAACUAAUCUGUCCACUUAAAAUGGUGCUGUGAUCCACCUGUUUCUACCUUGGAGGUACUGUUCGAUACAAAGACAAUAAAGUGUAGUUUGUUCCUACGAAGUUUAUAAGAGUUAAGUGUUAAGCAGCAAGCAUAGACUGUGACUUUAUGAUUUUGUUGAGAGAUAAAAUUACAUUUGAGUAGUUAUUAUCAUUGAUUUUUAAAUCUGACUGUUUUCUGUCGCCCUUGUUAGUCAUGACUAAAGUUUUUAUCUUAUAAUUAUAUCAUUUCAUGGAAUGAGGCCAAUGAAACUGUUUUUUUCAAUGAUUAACUGCCUUUUGUCCUUGAGAUUUUUUUUUCUCUUCUGCCUCUUUUUGUUUGCUUCAAUGAAAAUGUUUUGAGUCAGUGUUGUAUCAUUGUAAUAAGCACAUAGAACAAUAACCCAGCCUUUGACUGUCUUAAGGUAAUAAUAGAGCAUCACAAUCAGUAAAUAACAUUAAAAAAUAAAAAUAAUUGUGACUGCAGCCCUUCUUAGCUACUGCAGCAACCGUAGAAACACUUUCAGUCUUGCGAGUCUGUAUUGUCUUUCCCUCGUAAGUGAGCUCAUCUACUCCCAAAUUUUCAGUCCAGCUCUGUCAAAGAAAAGUCAAAGGCUUUUUCUUGGCCAGAGGACUAUCAUAUGACUCCGACGAUUAAUACAAAGGCGAAUGGUGGACUUUAAUAAUUAACUCUGCGUUACAUUUGAAGAAUGCUCACCAGGCGUGAGAUUUAAAAGAAGCUAAUGUUUCACUAUCAAACCAUUUCACCCAAUCUUCAGAACAGAUGUGUGUGCAGAGGAGGACAUUAGUUUCCACAGCAGGCGCUGAAAAUAUGCCUGCGUUCCCCUCAUCAGCACAGAAGUCAUGGUUUGUCUUGAGGGGCCAAGUGUCUCCUUGUGACUGGCCAUUGGUUUUAAGUGGCUUGUGCAUUUUUCAUGGGACAGUGGUCGCUGGGAAUGUCUUGUCACUCUAUUAAGGCCUAUUCAAAUGGUAGCGGCCAUAAAACGAAGCAGGCACUGAAAUAUUCAUUUGAUAUUGCAACACACCGCAGUGUGUGUGUUAAUUAAGGAAAGAGCUAUAUGCUUGAGAUGGGACAGGGCUCUCAGUGUGCCAGAAUGCUGGAAGAUGAGUUUAAUCAAAGUGACACUUGGGCUUCCCGGCUCCAGGCUGGUGUCAAUAUGUACAUCUUAUUUUAAAGAGUGCUAGUGUGUUCAUAAAACAGAGACUAAACGCUGAACUAACAACACGCAAAAGCACUCUUUGACAUUUCCUUUUUUUUUUACAUCAGUGUAUCAUUCAUGCAUUACUUUCAUGUGUACAUUAGCCGUGUGUUGUUUAGCAUUAUAUUUGACCUCUAAGGCGCAACAUAAAAGCAGGUAGCAGCUGUGAACCGUUGUGGCGGGGUGAAGUCCAUUAAGAAAAAGAGAAGUCUUUUUUUAACAAGCUGUUCUGGCCAUUUGACAGGGAAAAACCUUAUAUUUGGACAAACACUCAGAUGUUAACUAUCUGGCAUGUACUUAAGGGUUAACUGUGUCCUGAAGGCUACACCCUGAAGGGAACAGGUGUUUGCAGCUAUUCACUGGUGGUUCUACUGCUUGUUAUUUACCAUGAUUGGAUCUAUAUUUCUAAAAUUUCAGCUAUGAGGUAGCCAAUUUGAUGAAGACUGCACGCUUACAGCAGCAGGGUGUAUGUUUCCCUCCUCUUAAUAUUUUGGACUUCCUGUGUUGUUUGUACCCAGUGAAAGAAAGUUGAUUAUUUUUCAUUCGAUUCAGGUGAUCUAUUAUAAUUUAUUUUUAAUUUCUUGUCUAAUUCUAGCUGCAAGAUUGUGCAGCCUCACAUUUGAAAUGAUCAAAAUGCAAACCCUCAUAUCAGACACAAAGCUUAAGGAUUACAAGGCUAUUUCUGUUUGUAUAAAACCAACUGAAUAACACAGUGUAAGUGUCAUCCCUCUCCUCUCUCUUCCUUCUUUUGGCUUCUUUAUUACCGCUUCACCGUUCCUCGUCUCUCUGUAGGACAGGCCAGCGAUAAUAUACCCUAUCCUCCAUCUUAGAGCUUAUUAACCUUUUUGUUGGAAUAUCUGGAGCAUAAAGACCUCAUUAAAUAUUUACAUAUGCACUAAGCAGUAUGAAAAAUUAAGAAACCCAAAGUUUUAUUAACCUGUAGUAAUAUAAUGUCUACUCUUGGCCAACAAAAAAAGGGUCUUUUUUGCACAUUAAAGCAUUCUGUAGUGCAUAAUAAUGUAUGAUAAGAAGGCUCCCCUUGCAUUGAUUAACUCUGCUUUAAUAUAACAUUAGGUUUCCCUAAACUAGCUUUAUCAUAGAAUUAUGCUUUUAAUACAAGGUGUGGGGAUGAGGGCAGAGGAGGGAGCUGUUUAGCCUGCAGAAAUAAAACAUUGCGACAAUCCUUAAUUAUCCAUGGUUGUGUGUGUGUGUGUGUGUGUGUGUUGUGACAUACGUGAGGACUUCUGAGAAACUCAUACGCUCACUAUUCAUGAAUAUAUUAGAAGGCGCAGCAUAAAUAUCUGUCCCUGCUAGCCAUGCUGACCUCGUCCCUCCAUAGGUGUAGUUGAUCCACAACACUCAGCCAUUCAAAUGGGACUAAGUGGCUUUCAAUUAUUCAAACAUAUAUUCAAGAAAGGCCGUGUAUUGCUCCCUAUCACCUGCUCCUGACUUUCUACUCCUCUGCCACGCUGCUCAGAGCUGAGACUGAGCUGGCUGAAAUGUUCAGAUUUUACCAUCAGCUGUGUAGACAGAGGAUGAGGCACAAAUAUCUCUGUCACUGCUGUCCUCACAGACCCUUUCGGUCCUCUAAAUGUUUCCUCUGUUCUCUGAUAGGGACUCAAACGGGCAGGUUCCCAGAGAGCCAGCGCUUUGAUUCUGUCAGUGCUGCAUGCAGAGCAGACCAUGCUUCAUAGCUGCACACCUGCAGGCAUUUACACCUGUAUGUCACCAGUGCAGGGCAGAAGAUGAUGUGAUGGUAAGGGUUUUAAAGUGGGAGCAGGAUCCAGGAGGCCUUUUGUAUGGUCAUGUCUUAGACGUAUGGGCCAAUAACCUCUACAUAUAUUUAUGUGACAUUUUAUGGGUUUCAGUUUUUUUAAAAAACAAGAAUUGACAUUAAAAACUUUGCAUUAACGACUCAAACAAACAGGACCAUCUGGGAUUAUACAUAUUAUUUCUAUAUAGUUAUUGUAAUACACUGGUAUUUGACAAAGUGGGUAAUACUGCAAUAAGACUCUUUAACUCAUCCACCCCUGUUAGAGCCACAGUCACUUACAUGGACUAGCCUGCCAUUCCUACAUUGUUGUUAUAAAUACGGGUACACAUGCUUAGGUUGUAAUUAAGUUAUAUUAAGCACAUAUUAGUAUCAUACAAUAUUUUUAUCACUUUUGCACAUUUCUCCUUUGCACAUCUACACUUACAGAUUCUUUCAUCUGAGCACAUACUAUUUAAGUACUCAUAUUCAUUCAUUAUCUUGUAUAGUCUUGUAUAUUUUAUCUAUUUUUUGUAUUUCUCUUGUAUUGCUUGUAUCGGCUACUAUAACAACCGAAUUUCCCCUCGGGGAUUAAUAAAGUUCUCUAUCUAUCUAUCUAUCUAUCUAUAUCAUAUUCAGUCCAAGUGCUUUUAUUUAUUCGUUCGUCAGAUAAAAAAACACUUCAAGCAAUCUGAAACUCGAAAAAUCUGAACAAUGUGGAAAGUUUUUCAUAUGUUUUCUAUGGAUUAGAUUAAAAAAUGAAAUAUUUCAAGCCUUUUUUUGUUUGAAUUUAGAUGGUUUUGGCUUACUGCUUGUAAAAACCAGAAAUUGAAAUAUUUCUAAGAUCGAUUGAAAAAAGGUUUAAAAAACUGAAAUGUCAGACUGCUGACGUUUAUCUAAACACUCAUUUCUUGGUUGGCACUUUUUUAUGACCAAUCAGUUCAUUUAUGGGCUUUAGGGCUCAAUUAGCCUUCAGCUCUGCUGAGGCAUUACUGCUUUAUAGUGGCUGUCAACUAGUCUAUUGUUUUGAGUGUAUAGUAUCUCUCACCUUCCUCUUGACAAAUAUCCCAUAAUUUUCUAUGGUCAACUAAUCAUUUAUUAGUAAUUUUGGCGCCAUGGACAGGUGCUGUGUCUGCUUACUGGAAAAGGGAAUUGGCAUCUACACCAAGCUUGACAGUAGAUGCAAGAACAAAGCACUGUAAUAUCUCCUGAGUGAAAAAAAAAACAUUGUGGACCAACAACAGCAGAUGACAUGGCACCUUGAAUCAACACAGACCAUGGAAACUCCACGCUGUACAUCUAAUGCUGCGUUUGAGUUACCUCGAAAAUUGCCAGCGUUUCAGUUACCAUAUUCAGUCAGUUAUCUUGUCCAAUAUAACAAAAACAAGGCAAGCACUAAAAUAACUUUAUAAGAUGUAGCCAUCUUGUUUUCGCCUCCAAUUUUGCGUUUUUCCGACUUGGUAACUGAAACGCUGGUAUCUCGGGUGUGACGUCAUUUUCAGCUCCGACAUCUGACUUCCGAGGAAACUCGAACGCAGCAGAAGACCUUGGGGUAUCAGGAGUGUGACAGCUGUAGCCUCCUCUGUGCAUGAAGCCUCUCCAUUCAUUGACAUCAGCCUCAGUCCAUUCUUUGUCCACUCCCUUGAAUCAGUUUUUCUUGAGACUCCCCUCACAGCUGCUGUAAUUCCUUGUUACUUGUGCACCUUUUCCUUCUAUACUUUCUGCUCACAGUCAACUUUCCAUCGCUAUGCUUUGGUUUGGCACUCUGGCUCUGUGGCUCUGUGUAGUUUGUUCAUGAUCAUCUUUUUUAAAUUAUCAAUUAUCAAUGAUGAAGGAUGACUGUCUGAAGUGGAGGAAGCAACGGGAGCAGGAGCGCGAUGCAACAGUACACUCGCUGAGCGUUACACCAUGCAGGCGAAGGUGUUUUGUCAUGUUUGUCAUGCAUCCUCCUUUGGCAGAAUUUUUUUCGCAGAUGUUGUUCUGUGAUACUCCAUCUUUUAAAAUUAAAAUGAAGCCAGACUGUCAAGCGUUUUUUGCGGUCCAUGCUCAGACGAGUGAUGUUCUUGCAAGUGGACGCACAGAGAACGCCGAGCGGUGUGAUACACGCCUGGAAAACAAACUGGUGUGGGCAUUCAGAACCAAGAAAGAAUCGAAAUUCAAAAGUCAUCGUAAUGGUUCUGGGGCCGGACAUUAGGAACCAGUUCUCAGUACUGAACCCUACCUAUGAUUGUGGGAGCAUGUUAUGGGUUGGGUGCCAACACAGCUUUGUUAUAAAGCUGUUAAAUCACAGUGGAGCAGAACAUAUGUGCCAUUUUUGCUUUAGUCAGAACAGUGUUCAGGACUUUUGUCCCAUAAUAACACAAUUCUGAUAACCUGCAAUAGAAAUGAGUUGAACAGCUAAACUAAGAGAGCCUCAUAGUUGUUGGUCUGUUUGAAAUAAAUAAGUAUUUAUACCAAGGACAGUGCCAAAAAUAAGGUGAUAGAAUGCCAGCAACAGUAUUGGAUCACUCCAAAGUAAGAAUUUCAUUUCCCUUCAGCUUGAAAAUUACUCAAGAAGAAAAGACAAAGUUAGAAUUACCACACAUGAUGAAAAGCUUGGAAAAUUAAUCUGAGAUAAUAUAAAAAGUUGGAGAUGAGAGGUGACUGACAGCACUAGGUUUUUAGUUUUUAAACUUUAAUACCUCUAGUGAGUGCUGCAGUAAAGUACAGUGUGGUCUGUGAGCAGCGGUAAUAGAGUGAAGUCCUAUUCAAGCAGUCAGGCAGAGGGGUAAGAGAUGAGGGGAGGCUGGUGGUGGAGGGGGGAUAGGGAGCAUUGUAGAAGUAACAGAGAGAAAAGGCAAGGAGUACAUAGUCUUGAGUGAGACAGAGAGCAAGUUCAGGAGUGUGGAUAGUUAGAUAGCGAGAGAAACAAGAAGGUUAUCUAUGAUUUAACGCCUGUGGGGCCCUGAGAUGAGCCUUGCCUGUUCAAGCUGCUGUGAUUGCUGCUUGCUGCUGCUUCAGACUGAGGCCUUUCAGCUCAUUUCAUCAUGGAGCUCCUAAUGAGGCCCGGGCCGACUCCCUGGGCAUGGGGGCUGCAGACACACCUCCGAUGAAGGGGUACUGAGGGGCUCCAGAUUCUACCAACAACACCAUCAGGUCCUUGGCCUCUGAAGGGGGGGAGCAUGAGGAGGGAAAGUGGUGGUGUAGGUGGUGGUGGUGGUGAGUGUUGCUCCAGGGUGAGCUUGGAGACCCACUUUGUCCCGAGGCUGUGUGAAAAGGUCACUGCCUGUGAGGAGUACCCACAGGCCCCCGCUGCAGGGUGUCUGCAGGGAGAGUUGUUUUUGUUCAAACAGGAAGUGGCAGGUUAAGAGGAGCGUGUCCAUCAAAAAUAUGUCUGCUGUAUGCUCACAUGGAAGUGGGAGCUUUUGUUUUAUUGUUUGUUCCAGUGUACUCUGUAAGCACAGUUUGCCACUUGCCAUGUGUCAAAGCCUCCUUUGUUCGGGGUUUGACUAAUGAGCAAAUAGAUGUAUAAAGUGAGAAAUAAAAAGUGCAUUAAUGCCACAUCACGCAGAUUCAGAAUUGGCCACUUGAAGCAGGAUCCACAAUCAAGUCAGUACCCCCUUUGCCCCAUAUUGGGACACCCAACUCUGAGGGUCCUUUCACACCGGGACCGUUUUAUUGUGCGAUUAUUUCAGACGUCAAUAUUUUUUUCCGAACCUGUAUCCUGUCAGUACAAAUGUUCACAUCAGCGACGUUAUUCCGUCCUGUGAUAUUGCGGCAUUUAUUUUUUUCGGAUCACGGUCGAUUUUUCUAAAUUUUUGCAUACUGUGUGUCCACUUCUGACCAAUCAGAUCACGUGUUGUUGCAACGUCUGAUUCACCGGUAUAUCCAACAUGGCCGAUCGGCUACUUGUUUAUGUGUCAGAGAACAGAGUGCUUUUUGAUUAAAAAAAAACACAAAUAUUACAAAGAUAACGACCUGAAGGACGACUUGUGGAGAGUCAUAGUGUCGGAUCUCUCCUAUGACGAUGGUUUGUGUGCUUUAACAGUUUGCUAAAUGUCUUUGUUUAAACUUUCAUCUGUGCUAAGUAACUUUAGCUCAUAAGCUAACCUGUUCAGAUACAACAUACCAUAUGUAUUUUCACUGUCUCAAACUCAAUCGCGUUGCUGUCACAGCGCCAUUAGGUCUCAGUUGUUACCUUACGUUUAUGGAUUAUAGUUUAAUGUGCUUAUCUGGUACUGGCCCCGACUCAGUACAUGCUAUCAUGACAGACACCCAUCUCAACACUAGCGUCUAAUCAGAACUAAAAAACAGUCAGUCUGCUGUUGUGUCAGUCUUCCCGCUUCCACCCGGGACGCGUCUUUUUCCUCCUGGAAAGUCGCAAAAUCGCAUGAUGUGUAUAGUCAGGUGCGUCUAAAUUCGCCUCAGAAUAUUUCGUAAUUUCGCAUUCUAUAUUCGCAUCAGCCCUGGUGUGUAAGGACCUUAAUUUAGUCGUACACAAAUUUGGAUGUGGUCACUUUGAGUGACAAAUCAGUGCAUUCAGCCUUGUGCUAAGUGCUAUUUUAAUUCAUUACAAUCACUUUAGUUAUCCUCUUGGUUGUGUUUGUUCUGCGUUAUAGGGAUUUUUUUCAAGAAAAUAUGGGCAGCAGUGACUCAGUGGUAGCCAACCCCCAAUUUCCGCCGCAUCUGGAACGGCUACGAAAAGGCCAUAUCUGGCGAUCGUAGCUGAUCGUAACCAUUCAAGUAAAUGUGUAAAUUUCCACUGGCUUCUGUUCUGCUGCGGAUUGCCGGACUCUGCAGCUGAUCGCGAGAGUUCUAUUUUUUCCAGACGCUGGAGCAUGCCAUAUAACCCAUGCUGGAAAGGUUUUUAGACAGCAUUACACCCCGAUGAUACCAUGGAUGAGGAGAUGCUGAUUUUAGAAGUCUAGAGGCGGAUUUCUUCCUCUGAAAGGAAACAAUUUGAUGCAUUUCUGGUUAGCCUCUGUGGUUGUCUUUAUAGAGACAACUCGUGAUCGCACGAUUGUAUAUGAAUCCGUGGGUUCUUGUGAGUUCUCGCGAUUACUGCUGUCUGUAAUCUGCCACAAAAUUCGCCUCACCAACGGAUCCGGUAGGAAUUGGCGGACGGCAAAAAUCGCUGCCGUUCCAGUUGCGGUGCAAAUUAGGGGAAUUAUUAGAAGGUUACAAAUACAUAGUACUGGGUGAUACUGAUGAGCACUCGGCAGCUUCUGGUGUCAGCGUAUGAAUAUGACAGAUAGCAGGUUGUAGGAACUGUAGUGUUGAAGGCUGGUUAUUGUAAAUAAUCUGGUCUGGUCUCUACAGGUAUAUCCACCACAAAUACAACCUCCUAUUAUUGCAUUGCCAGCUAGAGAGUAAGCCAUUGAAGUAUACUGUUUGACUUUGCCAAUUUGAUGUUAGCUAACCUCUUGUUCAUCUCCACAACCUCUUGACUGAGUGUAGUCACGUAAAAAACCAACAUUGUUGCAGCCAAAAUGCUGAACAGGCAGCUUUGAAAAGGCAGUCGGGGUCAUGGUGGUAAUGUUUGAUAUUUAUAUAGUCUUUGGAUACAUACUGAGCCAGUUGUCAGUACCUAAUUGUACCAGUUAUUUAACGUUGUACCUCAGAUCAGUCUUGAAUGUAGAGUAGUAAUAGAGAAGUGACAGCCAUACCGUAUGUGUCAGUAUGGGUGCCUCCCUAAUGACAGGCAGCUCUAGGGGAUAUGAAAGGCAUGGUGGCAGGGGGGUGGGGCAGCAGACUUGCUGGUGGAGCGACCUGUCUGUUCACCCCAGCUCUGGCCUUUGUACAGAGUUAAUGAUGCCACUAAUAUGUUCUUUAAAGACCACACUGUGAUUCAUGGCUUUCAUUAGCCCUGUGUGCCAGGGUGUCUUUCUCCCUCUCUCUCCCUCUUUCUCUUCUCUGUCGCCCUUUUAAUGAUGGCCUGGAGACGAGGUGGCACGCUUGACCCUUAAUCAUACAAGCAAGAGGAGGCUGGUGGUGAGCGAGGGGCCGUGAUUAGAUGGGAGGUUUUUGGAGAAAGGCAGGGGGUGGGAGUAAGAGGAGGAGGUAGAAAUCUAUAACAGUUGUUCGUAAUCCUGCUCUUCAGGGCUGGUUAACUUCUCUGCUCAGCACAGCAUCUCAUGUUGAGUAUUUACAGAAAGUACAUACUUAUUUAUCUUUUUUUCCCACCAUCUUCAACUUCCUGUCAGUGUGUUUUAGAAAAAUGGUUACGUUUGCCUGCAAGUCUGAUCAGAAUAUCUGCUUCAGUUUUGUUGAUGGUGUUGCAAGUGAUUUCAGUUGUCAGAUUAUACAGUAAAUAAAGCUGUCAUGUCUUACAACUUGGGUUUUUAUAGCAGAAUCUUGACUGUCGCUCCUGUUGGUAAGAGUAAUACUGUUCUGCCAACUUAACAACUUAAAAACUACCCCCAGAAAUCAUCUGAUGAGCAAAUUACAAAGAUGUUUGGUGGCUAGUUCUUUGGCUGGGACCCUAUAUGUACUAUUGAUGAAGUUAGGUGCUGUUCUGAGCAUUAUUUGUGGCUAUAGAGUGGCGUUUUCAUUGAGGUUUGUGUGUGGCUCCUCAGAUUGCUGUGUAUUGCUAUCGUGCGGUCGUUACUAAAGUUGGUAUAACUAGAGAAGCAACAUAACUAGAGUCGGCAACAUUCCUUUCGAGGGGAUGUCUAACUCAAUGUUACGGUGUGUUUGACCCUAACUUAAUUUUACGUUGGAAUAUCCCUUUAAGUGCACUUACAUGAAUACAAAACUGUUGCACCUUUAGAAACUUUCUGGGAUAACUAAAGCCUCCCAGAUGGUCAAAGUUACAAAGUUAAAGACCCAAGAUGUGUAAAAAAAACAGGAACCAUCCCUUAACAAGUGCUUUUUAAGCUUUCGGAAACUAUUACUACAGUGACAUGUUCCUAUUCAGUGGAGUAACAGACUUGGUGUAAACUGGAACAGAGGGCAACACUAACUCAGACAAACUGUUGGAGAGUGUAGGAGUGUGUAUACACACACACACAAACACAGAGGGUCUGAGUGUGUAUGUUCACAAAGGGGUAAACAUAACACCAUCUCUCACCUCCAGCAGUCUGUUGGGAGCAGAGAAAAUAAACAAUAAAUAAAUUACACACAGACACAGUGUACUUGGUCUUGCUUUGCAGAGAAUUACAGUUGUUUACAUGAGUGUUCAGGGGGUGGCAGGUAGACCCACACCAUGUCUGUGUGUAUCAUGUUGGACCGCUGACGCUAGGGAUAAUUUCAAUAAUUUACACUCUCCGUGUGAUUGUAGGAAACGCCUCGUGUGUUACUUUUUAAAAAUGUAAAGCAGGCCAUGUUAGUCUCUGCCCACCGACCACAACCUCCACACACUCACACACACACACACACACAUACACACACAUAUAUAUAUAUACAACAUGGCUCUGGACCAGACGAUUCCCCAGAUGAUAAAAAGCAGAUGUUUUCCCAACAGGGGGUAUUCUCCUAAUGCUUCUAUACCAACCAUAAAACCCCCUCUCUUCUGUCCUCCUCUCCUCCUCCUUCUUCUUUUCCUCUGGUCUCUUCCCAAGCCAUCCGUUUUUCUGCAGAAUAAAGACAGAUUAGGGUCUAAAUCCCUCCGCAAUUUGGGUCAUGGCCUUUUGUGUGCUCCAUACGGUGAGAGGAGUGGCACACAACCGGGCCCCCAUUUGCCAGAGAUCAGGGGGUUAGGCCUGCAAGUGAUUGAGGGGGAACUGCACAGUGUGACCAUGUUUGGAGAAAUAAUGAGAUUGAAUUAACAGAGAGUCUAUGGUGGAGACCUGGGUAUCACACAGAAGAGGAGAGGUGGAGGACUGCAAAGAGUAGGAAGUAGAAGGAGGUGAGGAGAUGCUAGCAGAAUGGGUGAUUUUAUACAUUUGCGGAAGCUGUGAUAGUUUACAGUCAGCAGUGGAGUUUAACAUGCACAAAAGUUACUUCCAACACUAUUCUAUCAAUCCCUCCCUUAAACCUUUUGGAUAUGAUGAAAUUGGUGAAUAUAGAUCUCCAGGCCUUUUUUGUAGAUUAAAACAACACAACAGAUGGAUUUUGUUCGCCUCAUCAUUUGAAAAUCUUAAUGUUGAGUCUGAAUUUCUAGAAAUUUUUUGGUUGUCUUCUUGUGUGUAUGUUCUUGUGGGAUUACCCAGAAGCUCCAGCUCUUGAAAUACUGUGCAAAAACAGGAAACACCACCAGAGAAAACAUCAUAUAGCUGCAACAAUCCAACCUAGCGCCUCUCUCCUUAACUCCACUUUCGUCUGUGUUACCAUCUCAUCCUGAGUUCAAAGCAGCGUGAUGUUAAUGAAGGUUCCCAUGUACAAAGAGAAGCUUAUGUAAAUGUUACCUCUCCAGAUGUUCUAUAGCUCUCAGAGCCAGAACUCCAACAAGCCCCGAGCCACAAAGAUCCAGCGAGCAUUUAGACAAACCUUUGUACCUUCACUUGCCUAUAGGGCCUAUCAGACCGUCGCUGCCUGAGAAUCAAUAUCUGCUGCUAAUGAAACUUAGCCACACAUUUUAAUGAAGGAGCCAAUUUGCAUUUAAAAGUAACAAGAGGGGAAAUGGGUUCAUUUUUCCCCAUUCCUUAUUUAGUGUGUACAUUUGAACAGAAAGCACUGAACAGGUUUGGUGUGUGGCAACAUUUGUCUGUUUGCAAAGAGGUUUAUUCAUCAGGUGCGGCAUACAUGUUGUUGCUGAAUGUUUAAAGAAACUCUGCCGCUCUUUAUACGCACACUAGAUGACAUAUUGUUGUUGAACUGUAAUAUUGAUGAUAUUUAUUGAAAAUAUUGUUUCUAAAUAUUGUGUAAAAUAUCGACUUAAAUCCUGCAUCAAGAAAAAGACACAUAAGGGAUCAUGAAGAAGAAGCGACCUAGUUUUCCACAUUAAGCAGACCAACAUUUAAUUCACCAGCCUUCUUUCUGUUUAUUGAUAUGAUUAUAGUCAGUCCACACAAGUCUGAUUAGAGUUGUCAUAGCAACAGUCAGUUCUUCAAAGCAACAGUCUGCUAUUGUUGAAAUAGCAAAAAUGAAAGCACUGCAAUGAAAUUUUUCUUUAUUAUGACCAAUUAGAAACAAACUGCCCUGACAUACUGCAUGUAUAAACAAACUAUCUACAUCUGAUUUAUAUGUAUAUUGUAUUCACAUUGUAUUGAGCCUUGUAGUUAACAAAUAUUACAGGGUUACUGAAUCAAACAUGCCUCUUGAGUUCAUAAGGCAAACUUAUUUACAAAAUAAAACUUAUUUUUAAACAGAGAAGAGAAUAAAUAAUAACAUAGUAUCAUGUAUUUUUUUUUUCCUGUGGACUGUCUGUUUUUUUAAAAAAAGUGUCUACCCACUGUACAGCUUUUUCAGCUGCAUCUAGCUGAAAACUUAGUUGAGGUGGUAAAAGUCUAGUAGAAGAAUGAGCUAACAUUAUUUGGUUCAGAAUACUCUCUAUAAGUCAAGUCAAAAUUUCAUUACAUGGUCAAAAGCCAGCACAAUCCAGUGAAAACCAUCAGUUGGAUUUUUCAGACAUUGAUAAAACCGGGUCUUCCAUUUUUUUUCUAGUGUUUGCAUUUUUGAUAAUCCUGAGGGUAUUUUAAUAAUAGAUAAAGAUUAGUAGACACUGUGCUUCAGAAUCACAUAGAUAUCAAUAAGUUGCAUUGCCUUCUAUUUUUAGCUCUAAGCUCCUGUGAGGAGAAUAGGUAGGGAACUAGAUUUAAAUAAAUACUGAUGCCUCUAUGUGGGCUAGAAAGGCAAAGAUCAUGAUUAUCACAAAGACCAAACCUAUCCUGUACUGUCACUUUUAUUGUCUGAAACUGCUGGAGCAGGGUUAGGUUCAAGGAAAGUCUCAGCGGCACACCACUAAAGCAGACUUUGUUGACAUUUACCACAGCAAAGACUCUCAAUAAGUUGUGGUGCAACAGAUCACGGCUGGUUUGUGAUCCGUUGCACCAUCCCAUGCUCAGUUCGGACCACGUGUUAUAUGGAUGAAAGCAUCUCAGAACAAAAUGAAUAACUGCAUUUUGUUGCACAUUGAAAGGUGAUAACUUGAUUCACUGAGACUUGUGAUGGGAAUUACAGCUCUUUUUAGUGAGCCAGAUUAUUCAGAUCAGCCCACCAGCUCUUUCAGCUCCCGAAUGGCUCUUUAUUUUACCACUUAUACAUUUUAAAAUUCAGCUAAAUUUAGUGUUGUUGGGUUUAUGAUAUGUACGUUUGUGUGCACAUACUUAUUAAAUAAUUCAGUACAUCCUUUAUACUGAAGUAAUCACAGGUAAAAAUCAUGUUUUCUAAUAUCAGUAAAUUGCUGUAGCCAAUUGUUUUCAUUGCAUUUACAGACCCUGGUAACUCUCUGAAACAACCCAAUGACUGCACUGACUUGCUUGUAGAACCCUCUGCUUCACAAAGCAGAUAGAAAUCUUGUCAUUCUGUCUUGUAGUUUUUUUCUACUGUCUGUGGAGGGUAAAAAAGAUAAGGAAAGGGAAAGCGGCUCACAGUCGGGAGCCGGCUCUUUGAACCGGUUCGUUCAUGACCGACGCAUCGCUAACUAAGACACAGUGAUAUGAGUACUGGAGUGCUUUAUGUGGUCCACAGUACACACAGCUGGAUCACUGAGACACCAAGAUUUACAGUAGAUGACUAGAGGGCUGAGCUUAUUCCUAUUAUUUUGAGUCAAGUAAUCCAACUCUUUUUUAAAGUGAAAGAGAGAUUCGAGAUCUAUUUCAGUAGUGUUGAUAAAUGAUAUAUUUGGCUAUGAAAGGAAAGCAAUAUGAGAUUUUUAGACAGCACUACCUGCACAUGAUUGACACAAGACCAGCGAGGAGAUAAAAUGUCCAAGUUUGUCCACAGGGGGCGCCAACAUUCACUGGUUUUCCCUAACCUUUUCUUUGUUUUUUCAGUUUGUGCUGUAGUCACUUAUUCAUCUCGCACUGCCACAUAAGUUUGUUUGAUUACAAUGACACAUCUGUAUAGUUUGUGUGUUUGGACAUUUCUGAUUCACGUUAACAUAUAGCUCACAUGUUGAAUCUCUGUCACCCAUCCGCUGUUACACCUUCUCUGUUCUACAUCUACAGCAAAUCCAGCCUCUUUCUACUUGUUAAAAUAAACUGCUACAGUAAAAAAGCUAAGGGCAUGUUUUCUCUUCUUUUUUUCCCCUUCAAGUAAAGCUCAAAUCCCACAUUUGAGUGAGGGAUAAAUGGUGGUCAUGCCUCCAGACUUUCGACUAGAUGAUUUGAUUCAGAUAAACAAGCGGCAUGCUGCACAGACUCUCGUGUUUUCUGUGUAAUCUUCUGCUUGUAACAGGAGCUUUGAUUCCUGUUCAGGUGGGGGAUUUCUCCUCUGGACCAGGUAAAACAUUAAAGCCUCUCACUUAACAGUCAGAGCUUACCUUAGGCAUUUUUGCUUUUUUUUUUUUCUCCCCCAAUUUUAUUCAUUAUAUUUCACAUUUGUGUGUUUUUUGGACAAUUCUGUUUUGCUUUAUUUUUUCUGAGAGAAUAUCAGACACAAAGUGAACCCCUGUUGGGAUGGAGGUUGUAGUUUUGAAAAAAGUUAAUCACCUUUGAAAGAUUUACUUUUUCUGGCCAUUGGGGCUAAAUAUUUGUACUUUUUCUUUAACAAUGCAUUAGUGUCUAAAGUUUACAGUAGUGGAAAAAUCUCUGGGGAUCUCUGGCAUUGAAUAUCUAGAAAACUCAAAUACAUGAUCUGGCUGUUUUCUUGUUUUGUUGAGGUUCAUUAAACCAUUUUUAAUUCAAAAGUGCAACUAAAAAUAUACAACUGCUUUCUGGAAUUUCAGGCUUUAACAUUAUUAUACAUAUUCUGCACACAGACUGAUGUUAGCAAAACCAUUUGAGACCAUGUGAAACACUGAACAAUAUCAGUGUUGUUUGAUAAAUUAAAACGUUGUAAAAUUAAGGUAUUAAAUCCACGCAACUGUUGGAGAAGUGACCAUUUCUUUGACAUAUCCUGUGACUUCUUAUGUAACCAUCUGACAGACUUUAGCCAAACACCUUUUUCUUCAUGAAUGUACAUCCUCUGAUGGUAAAAGUUCCCUCUCUGCAAGCACACAGUAUCUCCACUUUGUCACGCUGCGUUCACAAUCCUUUCUUCUCUCCGGCAGCGCCCUGCAACAUGAAAGAACAACCUGCUCGUUUUAUGUAAAUAACAACAAGGCCGCGUCUCCUCUGUGUGCCACUCUUGGUGAGAAUACCCCAAGAUCUUUGCAGCAAAUUUUUUCCCGUUCUCCCCUGCCGGCAAAGUGUGCCACAAUAGCAGCUGCAGCAGGAAGGCAACUUAGCCUCCAGCAAGACUAAAGUGUGCAUCAGAGUAAAACAGUUGUUUACUUUGUUUGAACUGCACUAUCUCACCCACGGGAGCCUGUGCGCUUGAAGUUCUGCAUCUUUCACUCUCAACUUGUGACAAAGAGUCGGAUGAAUAACAAUGUCAUUUUCUCUACCUUCUCCCCCCUCCCCCUUUUUUCUCCACUUGUCUUCUUUUCUGAGUUCAGUCUAUUUCUUUUUCCACCGCCGCCCUUCUUCUUCCCCUUUGCACUCCUCUCAAAUUAUUCAUCGUCUCUUUUAAACUUUCAGCAUGCAGUAAAUUGAUGGUGACACACAAACUACAUUAUGUUUUCUCACUCCUUUUUUUAUAAACUAACAGCACUGCUCAUCUCUCUUUAAUUGCGCAGCAGGUGGGGACACAGAUGCACACAGAUGUGAGUGCAGGAGGCCGAGAUGAGAGGAGGGGAAACGAGGGGGAGGGAUGAAAAAGACGGCGUAGCGGCGGAUUGUGUAACUUAGUUAAAGUGAUGAAGCAGAGGUCCUAAGUGACCCAGCUCAGAUGUGAAUGUUGUCUGUGCGCUGAAGUGGAUACAAGAGAGCAGGAAGAGAAAGACAUGAUACUUAUUCUUUACUCUGCUUUGACUUUAAAUUCAACUUCAAACUACUACUGCUCAAGAAUGUAGCACAUUUAACCAACUUUAUCAAAGUUCCCUCAAAUAAACUUGAGUAAAAAGAUGGACAUAAAUAUGCAAGAUGCCAUUCAAUCUCACUUGUGAAUUUCCUUCAUGAAAGCACAGUCUAAGGUUUACACUUGAAGACUUAGUAAAUAGUUUGGAAAAAAAGUUACGGUAACAGUUUAUUUGGUGUCUAUCUCUAUAACACAUUAUAAAUAUAUGUAUAAUGUGUUAUAAUCACGUCAUAGCACUGUAUAACUAUAGUUAUAAACACUCAUAGAUGAUCAUAAUGCUUUAUAGCAAUAAUCAUAUCACAUUAUAAAGCGUUUAUCAUGACUUACAAGGUCAGGAAUUAUAAUGUCUUUUAAGAGUUUACAACAGUUUUAAUGCAUUUUCUAUGUGGGCAUUGUCAGUGAGUUGUUAACAGUUAUAACACAUUAUAAUACCUGACCUUGUAAGUCAUGAUAAAAUGCCUUAUAAUGUGUUAUGAUUGUUGCCAUAAAGCAUUAUGAUCAUUUAUGAGUGUUUAUAACUAUAGUUAUACAGUGCUAUUACGUGAUUUUAACGUGUAACAAAAAAAUAAUAUAUUUAAUAAUAAUUAUAUACUCUCAUAAUAAUGUAAUGUAUAACAUACUGAAUUUCCCUUCUGGGAUUGAUAAAGUUCUUCUUCUUCUCAUUCUUAUUAUACAUAUAUUUAUAAUCUGUUAUAGAGAUAGGCGUCAAAUAAAAUGUGUUACCAAAGUUACAUUUAGACGUCUAAUUGACCUCCUUUAGACCAAAAAAAUGCUCAGUGAGCUUAUAUUAAGUAAAGAGGCACAUAUACCUUGAUUUCACUUUAUUGAUCAUCCUAUUGGUGGCUUUAUGGUUUUUGUUUUUAUUGACUUUUCCUCUUUAGUUGACCUUACUGAUUUUGUCAAAUUCUUGUAAACUUACCUGUAAUUUCGCCUUAGAAAGUACUUCAUCAAUAUGAUUGUGAAUUAUUUUGCAGAAAUAUAAUAAUGGUUGGAGUCAUAUUGAAGCAUUUUAGCAGGUCGCCUUCCUAAGACUCUAAAUGAGCAGAAACCUCAAUAAUAAUUAAAGUCACAUAAGCCGUGAUCGUCAUGUUCAUCUAUGUCUCUUCUGUGCUGUUUAUCCUUAAAGCAACAUAUUUUCUAGUAGUUGUCUUUUUUCCCUAUCAGCGCAUGUUUAAGUUGAGUGUUUGCUCUGUAUUCUUGUGUUGUUUUCUCCUCCGUCUCUCUGUGUUUUAAUAGAGAUACAGGCCUGGCGUGUCAGUCUGGGGACACAGAGAGCAGAACAGAAGACAGAUCAAAGCUUCAAAAGAUUAUUGAUCGGAGGAGAGGCAGGUUGUAGUUUUGGCUCAGGAUCAGGUUGAAGUGUCCAUACCUCUGUCCUUGAUCCAGUUAUGUUUGUUUUUCUUUCUUGAUGAACAUGACUUUAGGGAAGAGAAAAAAGGCAUGUAAUCCAAGAGUGCGUGUGCUAUUGUAUGUACUUUUGUGAUUGAAAACACAUGUCUGCGCAUGUCUCUCAGCUGCUGCUUGAUUUUCUUCCUCUCUCUCCCUCUUUUGUCUGUUUGUGUGGAUCCGUGUGUGCGCUGCUGUUUGUGUGUCACUAUGUCCACAGCUACACAGAAAUGAUAAAUUUGAGGUUAAAAAAAGACGAGAUCAUAAAUAGUCACACUUUUACUGAUGUACAAGUCAAACGGUGAAAGAUAUCCAGGCUGAAAAAUAGUCAAAUGUUGAUUUGAUGUGUGUUUUUGGUGAGACAGCUUUCCCCACAUCCACACUGUUGCCUCCUCUUUCCACCCUCUUCACCUCUCCCACAGAAGAUGAAUAAGUAAUUCUUGGUAUCAUCAUAUGUGAUUGAAGGGGCUCUGAAAAGCAGCAGUGAGGAGCGUUGCCCGAUGAAGUGAAGUGUUGAAAAGAGUGAUUAUUUUUGCUUCACUGAGGUCUUAUUUUUCAGAGUGCCACUAAAAGCAUGCGAGACUUGUGUCACUUUGCACUGAGAGGACGGAGCGGCUGAAGGGUGAUUUGAGAAGAGAUGAAAUAAAAGGUAGUGACACCCCACUCCCCACCUUUUUUUUCCCCCCUUUUUCUCAAAAAUCUUCAUUCUUCUAGCGGCUCCACUCAUCUUCUCCAUGAGGCAGGCUGGGCUGUAUUUAUGGCCGAGUGCCCACAGCUAAAGCUAAUAUUAUGAGCUUCCACUGUGCCAUCCAUAUUGUUUUACCUCGCGUUGCCUGCGGUGAGGAAUAAAUAAAGUGUCAUUGGCAGCUUUCAAAGCACUCCUCCAGCAGGUUGGAGAGCAGACUGGGCUGCAGAGAUGGAAAGAAAAGGGGGCUGUCACUUUGGGUUGGGUAAUUUUUGACGUGCACGUCAAGGCCUUGACAAGGGGAAUGUGGCCGGCUUGUACAUUAGAGCUCAAGCUCACAGGCAAGAAGGCAGCACAGCACUAGGGACAGGUAGUAAUGCAGUCCCAGAGAGUGCUGCUCAUCUGCUAACACUAUGUACUUGUCUGGUGCCACACAAGGAUGCCCCCUGUCGCCUUGGCUCCACUCCCCCCACCCCCCAUCCCUCUGCAGAAAUGACUUAAGUCAGUGCGGGAAGAAUCCAUUUACAAUGUGUGCUUUAUAACAUCUCUUUGACAAUGCAGUCAUGGAUUAGAGACAUUUGUGAUGAAUCUUUCAUGGAGACUUUUUCCCCCCAUCUUUCUUUUCCAUGUGCACCAGGCUUUUCAGGGUCCACAUGUGUCUGCUCGGAUGUCAUCGCAGGAAGACGGGGAGAGGAAAAAGCAAUGGGUACUCACCAAACGAAGAAAAAAAGGAAAGAGGAGGGGAAAAGGAAAGAGGAAGAGUGACACAGAAUCGUCAGAGUGGGGCAUUAAAAUUUAUCUCCAAGUCACAAUGGCAGCCAUGAUAGCAGCGUGAAACUUUCCUUUGAAAAUGAACGUCACUUGUCCUCUCAGUCAUGCACUUCCCUCGCAAACCAAGACAAGCGCUCUCUGUCCUCAUCAAUUCUUCACCGCCAUUUUGACAUUUAUUUUACUCAUUUGCAUAACUGCUCCCCGUGUCUCUUGUUUCGUCUCGGUUCGAGCACAUGCAGCAUCCUCGCUUUUUUUUUUUCUUCAACUUUUUUAAAAACGCUGCUUUAAAAUUAAUGCUGGCCCUGAGAAAUAUAUAAAUAUAUCCUAAAGUUGACAUGAUGUUGUUCUACAAUAUUCUCUUUGAAAAGCGAUUUUGUUCAUACUUAAAGCUGCUGUGGAGGUGCGGCUAACGCGCACCCGGGCUAACAAACACGCACUCUGUUGUCCAGCCUCGCCAUCCCUGCUUCUGUCUGUCUGUCUGUCUGUCUGUCUGUCUGCUCUGUGAUGUUAACAUGGAGAGAUGCAUACUGAAUGAUACAAUCCAGCCAAGUGAAUGCUGCUUUUUUAAUGCGCAGGCCUCAAGCAAGUCGAGAACUUUACUUGUUUACUUUGUAGUUUUUUUGAACGUUUGCAGACACUUUGGGAGCCUCUGAAUGUGCCCUGUGGCUUUACACAAACUUGAUUUAUUUUUAAAGAAAAAUAAAGACACUAUGACCUCUGAAUAAUUAACACAGUGUGUCUUCAUGUUGACUUUAAUUACUUUGUAGAUGUCCUUUCAAGUUGUAAAAGGGUACUUGUCGAGAAAUCUUUCCAUUCCUUUUUGUAAUUUUCUAUAUUUCUAUAUUUUUCCUGGAGAUAAAAUCUGAAUCUCUCCAUUUAUUCCCUAAAAUAAAUCUGCAUAAAUCCUUCUCCCGCCCGAGCUGCUGUUGUCCGGCUUUCAGGCGGCUGCUCCACAGAUGGCUUUUCUCUCUUUCUUUUUUUUUCCUCUUUUCUUCCUUUUUUUAUACUUCAGGCUCACCUGUCUGCCCUCAUUGUCCAUUUGAAAGUCAGAGCAGCGGCAAGAACCUGAGAACGACUCAAUGCAAAUGCUGCAUGAAGAAAAAAGUAUUAAAAAUUGAUCACCUUUCCAUUUGAAUUCAAGGAAGCCAUCAUUCUCCAUAAGCAGGCCUGUCUCUUUAAAUCAGAGGAACUGUCGCUUCUGUGACUGCCUGUUUACAAAAUAUGAGGCUGAAAAUGAGACCUGCUCCCUGCGGACAGGCUCCUUGUAUAAAUAUAAAUAAUGAAUAUUAGAUAAAUAAUUUCUGCCCCUUUAAUAAUGCACAACUCACGAAAUUCACUUACACUGUGAAACUGGAGAAUAGGACUAAAAGUAGAUAAUGCAGUGGUACAAUGGAGGUGAGAUUGUGUGUGUGUGUGUGUGUGUGUGUGUGUGUGUGUGUGUGUGUGUGUGUGUGUGUGUGUGUGUCGUAGAGGAAACAGGACAGGUUAGAAGGCCCCUGCUGACCCUCAGGUCACCUGAGUGAAUCCUACAGUGCAGGUAAAGAUGUUUGGCUGAAUUCUCACCAUAUACUCUGCUCCAAGUGGAUAUAAAAAUAAUUAUUUAGUGUUAUUCAAUUAAGAUAUCCUGCUGAAGGAGGUCAAAUAAAAAUGUAUUUACACAAGCUAAUCAGGGGAGUUUGAUGUGAACUGGAGCCCAGUUACUGCUUCGCUCCCUGGGGGAAGGUGGACUCUGGAGUCAGGCAGAGCUGCUCUGCUGCCUGUGUGUCUUAUGGAGAGAAAAAGAGGGUGGAGAUUUGAUGAAUGGUUAAUUAUGAAAACCCUUGUGCCAAAGCUAAAACUGUAAUUAGCCUUAAUUGGCUAAUUGGAUGGAAUUGGUGGAUGGUAUAAGCUUAAUUGCCCCAUUUUAUUCAAAGCAUUUAGUGCAAAAUAACGGACGUAGUCGUGUCAGAGACAGUAAAGCCCAUUUUUGUUUAAAGUAUAAUAAAUGUGUCCUGUAGAAAUAGUUUUUUGUGUGUUUCUCAAGAUGUACUGCAGCCUGAUCUGUCAUCAUGACCCCUCUGAAACAUUUUUUUUUUUACUGUUUUAAAGUUCAUGAGAAUUAUUCCUUUUGUUAAAUUAACCCAAAACAUUCGAAAAUAUAAUUUUGUUGCUUUUAAUUGUGCCAGUUUUAUUAACACAUAGCUAAUUACAGCAUACCUAAAGAUUCUUGACCUUUUUGUGAUUUGCCAUUUGCAGACUUUCAACUGCACCAAACUGGUUUCUGUUUACUCUAAACUUCUUGGAAAGCACAACAGGAGGAUUCAUGUGGUGAAACUCACUCCGAAAUUGGGAAAGAGCUUUUUAAGGAAGUAUUUUAAUAAGUCUUACAAUUUGAAAUGUUCAAGUCACUUAAAGCAAAAGAUGAAAAAUGUGUUUACUUUUUCUUAUGAAUAGGUUAUACAUUUAAUUUUAUAAGAAAUGACAUUAUAAAGAGAAACAGCACCAGUAACAUGUUUUCAAGUUGACUUGGAAACUCCAAGAACUUUACUUUUUUUACUCUGGUAUGUUUUGUUUCUCACCUGUGCACCACUUCAACCUUUGCAUUGACUUGUUGUGCAGCAGCCAUAAACUCCAGUGAAACCACCUUUUUUUUUUUCCCCUCUAACCUGCUGAUUCACGGUGCACAGAUGGAUGGGUGCAGAAACCUUCACUGCGCUCUGAGACAGACCACUGAAACAAGAAUUUUCUCUCCUCUUCUCCCUGACACACAAACACAAACUCUCACUGAGUAUUAGAGCAGCUUUGAGUCAAGGUGCUCAGACUGUGUGCUAAUAACACCAUCUAGAAUUCACGCCCUCCAAAUAGGUUAAUGUGUUUUUGCCCAGAGGGCCCGAUCUACCUCUGCAGCAGAACUCUCUCUGAGCUUCCAUUAAGCAACAACACUGAGGCCUAUUAGCUGCUGUGGGUGCAAGGAGUGAGAAGUCUGUACGAACACUCUUUUAUGCUGGUGUGUGUUUGUGUGUGUGAGAGAGAUAUGUGUGUGUUUUUGUGGACCGUGCACUGAGAGUGUCACUACCUGUUCAGACCGGCUGCCCUGUGUUAACUGUUGCAGGAGAACAAUGUUAUGGCCCCUGACAGCUUGUUAAAGAGUCCACCAUGUUGGAGCUGCUCUCACUUUGUUGUUUCAUUGCAAACUGUGAUACACAGCGCACAUUUCAACACGUUGACAGGACACACUCACACAGCCUCAGAUUAUUGUUUGUGAAGACGUUGGAGUGUGAAGAAAUAAGUGGAACAACAGAGAAAUUCAUGCAGCUUUUUGACUCCAGAUCAAUAUUCAGUGUCUCUUCUUCUUUAAUAAGAUCCGUCUGUGUCUUAAAAUGAUUUUGGUUUCAUUCUGUAUUGAUUAAUGUGCAUUUCUGCUUUUUUCCACUGUUACUGUUUUUAAGUGAAUGUAUUAAUAUAUCAGGAUUGGAUUUAAAUGGGUAAAAACAUAUCUCCUGUCAACCUCCAGGUAGACAAACUUUAGUGGUUUCUGCUUUUAACAAUGUCUCUUUUAUAAAUGUAUAUAUAAUUUAAAAUCAUUGUUAUAAUGAAUACAAUUUGGACGUUUAAAAAUGUAACGUAAUGAGGGUGUGUAAAUUGUUAAAUGAUGGGCUAAAAACUCAAGGUGCUUGUCUUGAUUAGACAUGCAGUAAAGGAAUUGUAGAUUUAGGUUAAAGCCUUAAAUCCUUAACAACAGCUGACCUUUCCACUCUCUACUUCACAGACCGCUCACAUGACGAAAAAUCUUGAAUUAAUCAAAUUUACAUAAAUACUAAACGCAGCAGGAACAUUUUUAACCUUUUGAACGUUUUCGUAUCUGAACUUUCUCUUCUCUUGAACAAACUUUGGAUGUUUUUCUUUUUGGGAUACACACACAUGGAGAAUGCCUCCAGAUUUAUCCGUCUGUUGUUUGGCAUUUUCUGUCGUCAAAUCAAGGUUCAUCCCGCUGCAAACAACUCUAUCAUUCAGAGCUGGACUCCUUGGUGAUAUUUUGGCAAAUGAUACCAAAACGUUUUAACUCAACGGCAUAAUUAUUGAGAACAAAAAAAAAAGGGAAUCUUAAGACCGGCUUAAUCUGAAGGUUAAUUAAAGUCAGGAAUGGUCCAGUAAUGGAGCAAAUACGAGUCAGUGUUCUUAAUAUUUUAGAUAUCAGCUUAAUUUAUAGUCUCAAAAAGUAUAUUAUAUUUAAUAUUUUACAUUACGCUGCAAAAGACAAGGCCGUAAAGGCUAGAUUAAAAUUUAACUGAGAAUUUCAAAUUAUUAAACAAACUCUUUAUUCUUCUGGUUUUUGUUGUGAUUACCUUUUUAAUUUGUGAAUUUAAGUUUAAUUUCUUUUAGCUUUAAUCCAUAAAAAAGACAUUUUUAAAACUUUUAACAGUAUUGGUGUUAUUUCUGAAUGUAUUCGAUCUAAUAGGUAAUGAUUUUUCUCAUCGAUUUGGAUUCCUCAGUUAUAGCCGUGAGCUGUGUAUAGUGUGCAUACAGUAUAUAACUUUGUGCAACAUACAGCUGAAGGGGAUAUAUAUUUGAGAAACACUGAUUUCACAGCACUUAAAAUGGAUUUAGAUUGUAUUAGCGAUGAGAUCUGAUAGAAGAUGUAUAUACACUUGGUGUUGUAGGUAUUUUUUUGCAGUUCUUUCACAUGAAUAGAUACCAGGAAAUGAAUUUAUAAUACAGUAUUCAUAUUUAACAACAGAAAAUAUGAAGGUCAAGCAUUUUUGUCCGAAGAUUGUCAAAACGUUUCUCUUUGUGUCAAAUAAAUUUUUACAAAAUGUUCUUGACGUGUUUCAACUUUUAUACCUCCCCAUACAGUAUUAUCCAUUAUAAAACAACAUGUGAAUAUGUAGGUUUGAAAGUAAUUUUUUAAAUCAGAAGUCACAUAUUUUCUGAUAAUAACAUAUAUAAUAAUAAUAAUCUAGUAUUAUAUUGUUUUACGCUGCUCAAACAUUUCUUCAAGUGAGGGAUAAUUUCUGCUCUCACAGAGGAUGCUGAAUGUUUUGUGUCAGCCUGACCCCUUGUGGACACCCAUUGUACUCACUGCUGCUCCGCUCUCCCAUUACCAGAAGCAUCACACAAAACAGUACAAGGGAAACAUCCAUAAAACUUGUAUAAAUUUUGUUUAAAUGAAUAAAUCAUCAAUUGUGAUGUUUUGAUUGCAUUUCACAAGCAACACAUGUCCUGAAUUGUUUUUGCAGAGAGUAUCGGAGUUUUUUUUUUUUAAAAAGAGCCUCCGGCUGUUAGCAGUGGUCUGUGUCUGUGAACAUUUAUUUGUAUUUAAGUAGACCAAGACAUUAUUUGUAUUGUUUGAUGCCAAAGUCAAUAAGAGCCCGUACAGAAAUGUGGUUAAAUGUCUCUCUAUUCUCUGAACUGCAGUCAGUGCGUUUGCCUUUGACAACAAUAACUCAUACAUUGAAUAUGUAUUACAGACUGAGCAGUCCUCUGAGAUCUAAUACAUAUAUUUGAUGAAUUUAGUGACUGACUGCUCCGGCCUUUAUCGUCCAGGGUAAAAUAGAUCUGACCAACUUAGAGACAGCAGAACUAAUUAAAUGGAUAAAAGAUAUAUAUGGGCUCCUUAGAGGAUGUAAAAUUAAUAGCAGACCAAAGGACUUGCCUCUGAGCGACUUCGUCCGCUCCACAGCACAGAGACGACUUCGAGGGCUGAGUGUGUGAGGUGUGUGUGUGUGUCUGUCUGCUAAUAUUCAAGUGCAUCUUUACUCUGACAUAUGGGCAUCAUUUGUGAUGUAUAUUUGAUUUUCAUGUUUGCAUUCAUCUGCACUUCAUCUUGUGUACGCUGGAUUUUUAUAAUGGGUCCCUUUACAGUUUGUGGAUGUUGAUAAGAAGAUCUGUGGUAUGAAUGUAGCAGAAAAGACCAUUUAUGCAAAAAGAAUCAGGUAAUACUUUUCCAAACGCUUGAGUUUGAUUGCUGUAUAAAGUGUGCCUGUCAUUUUUUCCAUGUCCACUUCUUUAUCUGACAUAAGAUCACAGUUCCGGUUGAGUCUGGAUUUUGUGAAAAAGCCUCGGCUAACAAACGUUUUUUUAGUUUAGUUUUGUCUUUAUUUAAAAGGCUGAAGAGAGACAAGACCAUGGUGAGUGGAGAGAGGUGGAAGACAAGCUAGUUGUCAGGCGUUGAAUCCGCAACCGCUACAAUAAGGACUGUGGUCUCAGUACAUGGGGUGUGCCAUUAAACCACUGGGUCAACAGCAGCUUUUGUGCUUUUAUUGAAAGAGAGAGAGGAAAGUGGAUAUAUCAAGAAACUGAGGAGAAAGAGUUGGGAGUGGCAUGCAAAAAAAGGCUGCAGGCUGGAAUCCUUACCCAGGCCUUCCACCUUAGGUUUAUGUGACAAGAUCUCUGACUUUGUCUGAGCGUAAAAUGUUUGUUCAUUCAUUAAAUAAAGCAUUAAUAAGAAUAGUUUCACAUAUUGUAGAUACUGAAAUCUGCGUUUUUUCCAGAUUGAACCAUGAUUUAAAUAACAUGUAGAUCACUAUCCCAAACGAGUUCACAGCGCCUUACUGCCAACAUUCCCUUUAAAAGUACAAAAAAUGAAUAUAUCAACUUAACUUCUGUAUUUAUUUGAUUGUGUGUCCAAAAAUUUAUUUUCAUAAACAUAAUACCACUUGAUGUUUUAGUCGCAUUUUUGGUGAAAAGAAAAAUAAUUUAACAGUUUGAGAUACAGCUGUGCAAAUUUUAAACAUCAUUAUAAUUUCUUAGUGAUUCAGCCAAUACGUUUAUUCUUAUUCUCUCUGACAAGUUUCAUGGUAGGACAUGAUUUUAUUAUCUUCAGAUUUGUGUGGUGUUUUCAGCUCAAUAAGAUUAUAAAUGGCACAGUCAUUCCUCUGUCAUUUUUCUAUUCCAUUUAAUGGAGUCCAAGAAACUCAAAAACAUCUUUAGUAUCUUCCAGAGACAGUUUUUGUCUAACCUUGUCUUAAAAAUCAUCUAUAUCUGAUAACCUGUAUUUUUCCUGUUAUUGUUCCUCUUAACGCAGCCAACAUGUAUAUUUGUGUAUGUAUAGUGUGCUCUGUGCAUAUCUGUACAUGUGUUGUUGCCUGGUUGGUUCAGUGUUGUAAAUCUGCAUGGGUAUCUUAAUUAUGACCUGUCAGAUAAAUCACAAAAUGUUGCUUUAAUCUGACCCUGGUACAAGACAUCAAAUGGUAAAACUUUGCUUUAAUAUUUCACAUAGUUCCUCACCAAAUGAGACGUAGAAAAAAAAUACACGAGUUGCUGAUAGACUUUCUGUCAGAGAGUGAAUUAAUUAACGGAGUCAAACCUUGUCCUCCAGUCUCAAGCCAGACCGUUAUGUGUGAGUCUAGUUAAAUAAAUAGUUUAUUCUCUCUCCCUCUUCUUCUCUCGCCCUCUCUUAGACGGAUCUGCUGCUGACCUCACUCCUUCCCCAGAGUGACUGAGCCUGAGGUCGUGUCUGUAUGAGGUGUACUCCACACUGACCCACUUUGACUCUCCCUGCCCUCACCUCCACUUCCCUUUCAACCAGUCAGACUCUGGAUGAAGAGAGGAGACAGGUUUGCUUUCAUGGAGAUUCUAACUGAGGCCAUGCAGGGGGAACAGCAGCUUUCUGGGUCUGAUAGAUAAGGUUCAGAUGAGGAACCUGUUUUCUUUUUCAACUCCUGGGAUCAUACGGUGUGCAGCAUGUGUACACAGAAUAUACACAAAGGAUGAAAAGGCCUUAUACUCUUAUACUAAAGGUGAAGAAUUGGUUUGUUAAUUUGCAAACGUGAGUGGACAAAAUAUUCAAACCACCUGUGAAAUGGAAACCAACUAAAACAGCUUGAGUAGUAAAUGUGAAAUUAGUGAGGCUAUUAAAAACAUGGUUAAACAGGACUAACAGUUCAUGUUUGUAUUAUGUGAUGAGUGAUGGUGACCCAUAACAACUCACACGACCAUAAGUGCGGGUUUGCAGAUGUGUAGAGGUAUCUGCCAAGGAUCUUACAAGGAGCCAAAAACCACAGACAGGCUUUAAGGUUAGCUUGUAAUGGAAACAGAAGUUAAAGGGAUAUUCCAGCGUAAAUUUAAGUUAGGGUCAAACACACCGUAACACCGAGUU